rnacentral:lncRNA from 1 species
UAAAAAAAUAUAUAACGAGACCUAAUUAUGGAUAUUUGAACUCACCUGUUAUAUUCUGAAAUCUGAAUUAUUGUCACAAGAUCUGAGUCGUAAAUGCUUUGAGGGAAACUCAAUUCGAGAUGAUUUUAUUUUGAGGAAAAAACUUGAAUUUUUUUAAAUUUGAUUCAGCAUGUACCAAACCUGUAAAAUAAAAAUUUAAAAUAACCAUCAGAACCGCAAAUAUCUACAAAUUAAGAUAAGUUGCAGAUGAAUGAAUAAAUGAAUAACAUCGACAUAUGCAUAACUUACAUGUUGAUUGUACGCCAAUACAAGAGGUACCCAAUCUAAACAACUCUGGGCAAUACAAAUCAGAGAACUCCAGGCCAAGAAGUAGCUUUAAAACACAUGGUAUCAGUGGUUAUCAAAUUACAUGGUAGGUGUCUAUAAUUGAGUAAUCAUUAGUUUAAUGCAUUAGGUGGCAGUGGUGCUGUUUCUCAAUUUGGACUUUUUCCCUAUAUAUACUAUUAUAAGUAGUGUUGGAAUUUUAGUAUACAAAACUUAAGAUCUAAAUCAGAUCCCAUCCUUAAUGGGAUUUGGGACGGACCCGAGUCCUUAAUGGGAUUUUAAAAAAUAUAAUUAUUUAAAUAAAAAUUAAAACCAAGAACAGAUUUAAAUAAAAAUAUAAUUAUUCAAAUACAGUAUACAAAUGACCCUAGAUCUAGAGUUAUUUACUACUUUUAUCUAGAUCUAGAAUUUGUAAUUACCAACUAUACCAUGUAAUGACUCACUAAUCAUGGUUACAUAUUUAAUAAUUAAACAAGGAGAAGGACCCUGACCUGCCCCUGGUAUGGAGUCGGGUUUCGACCUAGACCCGACUCUCGGCUCACAUCCACAUGGUAAACAGUAGGCGGCAUGGACACCUUCCGACAUCCGAAUUGACCCUGUACGCUCGGCCGAGGGUCUCCGCCUCACGUCAAAUGUCACGUCCUCUGCCAAGACUACCACAGUGGUUCUCAUUGUGCUCGAGCGGCCAUAGGUACAAUUCGGAAAAAUUGGGUGUUGGGUUUUUUCGAUCCGAAGCUCCCUCUCUAAGCCCAUACCGAUUUUAUAGGAAUUGGAAGUCGAUCGAUGGAAGAUAGAGAAUAUUCGGGAAGGUCUUCGGGAAGGUCGUUGCAGCUGCUUUCUGCUUAGUUGAUCGAGCAUCUCAAGGAUAACGAUGUCGCCGUGGGAAAUAAGUUCAUCACUGUUUGUAGCAAGAGUGGAAGGAAGGUCGUAGCCACCCAUAAGGACUACGUCAUGUCAAACUCCAGAGAGGUACAUUUCCGGUACCAAUGCCAUCCUACCAAACAGUAACGCGGCAUGCAUUGUGAAAGGACCGAGAAUGUACUAAUUCAUACUCCUUCUCACGGACGGCUGAGAAUAAACGCAUUCGACGGACGGCUAAUCACUCAAUCCGUAGAGGAGAACUGCAUGGAAAUUGCGUCCUAUUAUAUUAUUAGGAACAUAAUCAUGUAAGAUAACGAGAAUGAGCAAUCAUCAUCGAAGGUACAAAUUCAUCGUCUUUGAAUGAUCGACAAUCAAAGACAUAUUCGGACAGACUAUCCGUUGUUUGAUUAAAUAAAAUCCAGGUAUUGGUACCACGGUACGUCCAGCGGACCGUGGACCGAACUUGCCGCGAUCGGGUCGUGGCUCACGGGUCCAACUGCCCAAAGGGGCCUGGGCCGAGGGAGGCUCAGGAAGACUGCACGCAACAUAUAAAUACUUCUCAUGGUCCAACAUGGGAAGGGGCUGAUGACAAAGGAGAGUACCUAUACUAGAAAGAGGAGAGUUGAGUGUGUGCGAUCCGUUUGUAAGCCCACACACCAUCACUAGGCAAAUCCAUGAUGGUCAUAUUGUUCAGAUAGCAGAUGAGAUUGCAACAUGGAACAUUGCAUCUUUAUUCCUAUACACACCAUCAAUCUUGUCGUGAGUUAUCAAAUCGUAACCAUUAGUAUUUAAUUUAAUGACUAAAAUAACGUAUUGCAUAAGACACUAACACAGGAACACAUGUACGACGUAAAAUAAUAUACUGUACAAGAUAUUAACACAUGUACGACGUAAUGUCGAUCUAAUAACAUGAUUAACUUAACACAGCAUUCGCAGUAGUUACUUAAAUACUAUAGCUACAUAAUUUUUGAAAUGUCUGAGCGCGUCUAAGUUUUGAAACUUGUGUCACAUUUCUUGCUGCAAAUCAAGUUAAAAAAAAGUUGGAGGAAAUAUAUUCUGCUAAACCUGCUAAUACUAAAAGUCUAGACUUUGGUUCGAACGAGGAAAUGAUCGCCGGCGGUACUCUUCCGAUCUCAUCCCCAUCCACAAAGCGGUACAUCCUCCGCCUCUUCAUCUCCCUUAAGUACGUGACGGCUAACGUGGUCGAUAUCAAACGCGGCAAAGUUGCCGCGACGGCCUCCUCUGUCGAGAAAGCAUUAAAGGAGGGAGUGGUGAUGGUGAACGGCCAGAGAAGAAACAAUGCCAAGGCCGCCGCCGCCGUUGGUGAAGUUCUUGCAAUGAGGCUCAAGGUAGACGGUCUUGCUCGCGAGCCGAUAUAUGCAGAUGUCAGGAAGGAAGUUGAGAAGAAAGGGUUUAGGAAUCAAACUAGGGUUUGGGCUAUAAUCAAUGCUCUACGUACACACGGUGUUAAUCUUAUUUUCAAAGAUCCUCAGAAUACUUCCGACGGCAUUCAGCGAUGGCGAUCCUCCUCCCGGUAAAUUGAAUAAUUCUUAUUGUUCUGCGGAAUUGUUAAUACAAUGAAUGCCGAAUGAUUUGACAUUUGCAGAUAAUGAAUGAAUGAAUUAUGGGGCAUUGUUGGUGUAACCCAAAGAUUUACAAAUCUGAGUUCCUUUUUUACUUUGGGUAGAGAUGAAAUCGAUUCUACAAGCUUCAUCAGUGUUAUUUUAUCCUUGACCAGAUUAAUUUUUCCCCAAUUUUGCCACUGUUUUCUGUCUGGGUUUUUUCUCCCAAUAAUAAUAAUAGAAGAAUCCAAGAACUUUUGCUUCUUUGAUUGAUUUCUCUCUUUCUUCUGCUAAGACACACACCAUCUUUAGACUAUAUUUAUUCUCAGGCUAGUUUUGUGGGCAUAUGACAUGUAUGUUUGUUUCUUCAAGUGUUGUGAAAGGAAUGGUGGAUCACUUUUAAGUAAAGCAACACAUAUUCAUAUGCACAAUCCAACUAUUAAAGCAUAACAAGUGUUACACGGGAACCAAAAAAAACUAGCUACCAUGUGUUCUUCUUUUCUUUAGAGAUUGGAGAAAUUCUGAAAAGAGAAAAAGAGUGUUGAAGGAUAGAAACUUAUGUGUAAAGUUUUGAAAGAAAAAAAUCUUUUUCUUUUCAUUUUAAAAGAAGAACAGAACAUUGAAUCAAAAUUCAAAAUAUAUGUUAUGACAAUUGUUGUAGAAGAAGGCACCAUCACUAGGGAGGAUCAUCACGGUGAGUUGGUUAAGACUCCACAAUGUCUCUGCUCAUGGUCUACUGGCAUUGCUCGUUACAUUUAUGCUCUUAUCUUCCUCACCACUAAUCUUUUGGCAUGGAUGGUUAGAGAUUACGGCCGAGUUGCACUUUCUAAGCUUCGGAGUAUGCAGUUUAUUCUCUCUUCUUCUUCAUUAAGUACAGUUUUAUUUGUUUUUGUUUUUUCACUCAUAGAAAAUUUAGAAAUGCAAGGUUUCCAUUCGGGAAAGGAAUGCUUAGGCUCAGAAGGCGUGCUCCGUAUAAGUCUUGGUUGCUUUGUAUCCUUCAAAAAAUAAAAAACUACCCACAAUUUAUAUCGAAGUACAUCUUUAAUUAUGUUUAGCUCUUCUUUUUUGUGAUGUUUGUUUCAACGGUUGGAACAAGACAAUUGGGGCAACGUAGGAAUUCAUGGCAUUCAAGUUGGUGGUCUGCCAAGAUUAUUCUAUGGAUGAUUUUCAUGAUCUUCCCUUUCAUCAUUCCUUCUGAUUUUGUCUUGUUCUAUGGUAAGCCAUUAUUUGUAUAUAUUUUUUAAAUUUAUAUUUCUUAUGAGUUAUGAAGUAACAUUGCAGUUUGCAUACCAUCAAAUUCCAUUGUAUCAUUUUUUUAACUAGAUCUCUUAUGAAUUCUAACUUUCCUUAUCAUCAAACAUCAAUUGUAGGGAAGAUUGCUCAUUUGGGUGCAGGGUAUUAUUCUCUUUCGUCGACCCAAUAUGAUUGUUUUUCUUUCUCUAAACCCUUUUUCCAAUUUUUAUUCCUUAAUAGUCAAAUUUCUUGAGAUAUCUUGUUUUUUUUCCUUUUUUCAGAAUUUUCCUCUUCAUUCAACUAAUAAGUGUGAUCAGCCUAAUAACUUUGUUAAAUGAUUAUUUUCGGAUGGGAAACAAUGCUGAGAGAUGGUGGGUACACUGUGCAAUUGUUUUAAAUAUGUAUUUUUCACUCUUAAUUCUUGAUCUCAACUUCUUUGACAUGUUUGAAUUUUGUUCUCAGUCGAAUUCAAGUAUUAUUCAUCUCAAUUACUGCAUAUAUCGUAGCGUUGUUAUUCAUUAUCUUAAUGUACAUCUGGUAUGCACCAAAUCCAUCUUGCAAGAUCAAUAUAUUUUUCAUCACAAUGACAUUGGCACUUAUUCAACUAACAACAUUCGUCUCCACACUUGACAAAGUGAGUUUACAUCUCAUUAUCUCCACAACCAAACAUCGUAACAACACAUGUGAUUUUUUCACUGUCUUUUUAUUUCUUCCAAGGUGAAUGCAGGAUUUUUAACCCCAGGUUUAAUGGCGGUAUACCUGGUUUUCAUAUGCUGGUGUGCUAUUAGGAGGUAAUUUCAAUCAUCCGCAUUCGUGAUCAUUGAGUUUUUAAAAUCAUUUAAAUCAAAGUGUAUUAAUUUUAAUAGAAUCGUUGAUCACAGUGAGCCACACAGUGAGAACUGCAACAAGAAUGAUGGAAUGCAUUCGAAUUUGAUGACUUAUAUAGUAAUACAUUUUUUUCAUAAUCCGCCCUGAUUUAAUGCGCCCUGCCUUGGUUUAAUAAAUAGUUUUUUUUUUCAGAGUUUUGUUGUGGCUGUACUUGUUAUAGUCGUUGCGACAUUCACAACUGGGAUUGAUUCCAAGUGCUUUCAGAUGAUUUUUUAUGUCAGCAAACUGCAUAAAACUUCCCGUUCUUUAUUUUUCAUAGAAAAUCUAUAAUUCUCAGUAGAUCACUUCUUGUGUAGUUCAAGAAAGUGAAAACAGAGACAGAAGAUGUUCCAUAUGGUUAUGGAUUCUUCCACUUUGUCUUUGCAAUGGGUGCUAAUUACUUUGCAAUGUUGUUCAUUAGUUGGAACACACACCAUACUAUGGAAAAGUAAGUUUCUCUGAACAUUGAUUCUGCAGUGUGUUAUUUCCUGUUCGUCAAAAUGUAUUAACACUUUUAUUAAAUAUUGAAUGGAAAAAAGGUUUUAUCUAGUGAUAUCGUCAAAGAAUUUUACUUUUUUACACACUGUAAUUAUUCUCCCAAUGGUUUAAUUGCAGAUGGACAAUUGAUGUUGGAUGGGCUAGUACUUGGGUUAGAGUUGUGAAUCAAUGGCUUUCUGCAGUUGUUUACUGUGAGUAUAUUUUAGUUGUUUCCUGUGUUCUUUUUCUUUUCUUUUUCAAAGUAGUUAAAUUUUAACAACAAAAAAAUCUUUUUCUUUUUUAUAGUAUGGACAAUUGUUGCGCCAUUGUUUUGGAAGAACUUGAGAUGUCCAGAGCCUCAAGAAGGAUAACUUGAAUCAAAAUUGACUAAUUGAUUACUAUUUUGCAAAAAUGAAAAACGAAAGGUAACUAGUUAGGAUUCUUAAAAAACACAAACACAACACGAUUUUAACACGAACAGUCGAACACACACAUGUUCAUAAAAAUACGAUUUUAACACGAACAGUCGUAUUCAUGUUAAUAAAAAUCACAAUGUAUUGACAUAACUAAUUGUGUAAUUAAUUUAGUAAUUAGUAUAAUUAACUAACAUUUUGAUUAAUUAGAUUUAAUUCUCUCUUUUGUAACUACCUAAGAUCGUAGGGUUUAGGCUCAUCCCAUAACUUCAAUCCAACUCCGACCAUGGAUUCGUUUGAAUUCGUGAAUUCGUUUGAAUUCGUUUGAAUUCACUCCUUCUCCGAUCAUCCGACACCAGAACAUCCACACCUGAGAGCAAGAUAAGUCCAGUAAACCCGCUAACAUGGAGUUCCAGGUAACAACGUCCUUUCUUGCCACGGUAAAUGCGUCCUCGAAAAAAUCCACGGCUUCCUCCAGCUUUCCAUUGCGUAUCUUAGCAAUGAUAAACGUGUUGAGCAAGAAGACAUUGGAAGCAUAGCCAUGUCUGAAAACGGUCCCCCAUCCGAUACGAACUCGAGCUUAACGGCCCGAUUUCGACGGCCCCGUCAAAAAGUGCCGCAAAUCGGUAGUGGGGAGGGAUGAAAACCCACGAGAGCCACGGUUACCACGCGAACGCCGACGGCGGCCGUUUCCCCCGACAGGAGCGGCGGCGGGCACACUGUGCAGGGAGCAGCAGAAGCUCGAGGUCACAGCAGCAGCAGCAGAAGCGGCGGCGGAAGCAAUAGGCGCGCCGGAGGAGGAGGGCACAUCGGAUUGGCGGAGCGGGGUUAGGCGGCGAUGCAUGUCCAGCAGGACGGAGUUGAGUCGCAGAACCUCCGAAACGGCGACGGUGUGAAAGACGCCGGCAGGCAUCAGCAGACACUCUGUCCACGUGGCAUGCUGGAGUUUCCCCUCGGGGCCAAACUCCUCCAGAAGGUCUUGGGCACUCAUCAGAAGAAAGUUGCAGGGCAAGGAGAGUAACCCACAAGGGCACCUAUUUAUAAAAAAAGGGGGGAGGGGGCAUGAGCAACGAAGCAUCAUAAAGAAGGUGGUUGAGCGAACCAAGGAAAAUGGGCCGGGUGGAGCCCUUAACCCCCCAGGCCUGGGGGGGAGUACUGUUGGUACCAUGACUCGUCCAAACGGACCAUGGGCCAAACAAACCGCAGGGCCCAGAAGGCCCAGGAGGGUCUUCUAUAAGUACCUCCCCUGCCCCAACUGGGGAGGGGGUUGAUAAUCAUUAGAAAAAAUACUAGAGAGUUGUGUGUGUGAGCCCCCUAGCACGAGCCCACACACCAUCAGUGUGAGAAAAGGUUUUUGAAUUUAACCAAAAAGUUUAAGGUUUUGUUUUAUAGAGUUUCCGAAAAAACUUUUAGUUGCUAAAUCUACCUUUAAUGACUUGAGAAUAGUUGUGUUGGUGUGUGGGCUCGCCGGAGUAAGCUCACUGUCCAACUUAGUACAAGUGUAACCCUAAAAAUUAUCAACCCCCUCCCCUAUUGGACCAGGGGAGGUAUUGAUAGCUUUCUGUUGCUGACCUCGGGCCCGUCGUGGGCUCGUGCGUUGACCUCGUCCACUCGCCUGGGCCGCCGACGGGUCCUGUUCGGUCCGUGGGCCACAGUCCGCGGUCCAUGGUACCAACAGUACUCCCCCCUUCCUCGACGGGCCCGGGCCCGGGCCCGGGGGCCGCCCAUCCCGCCUACAACCACCUCCAUUAAAACUCCUCAGUGUUCGAGCCCAUCCUCCUUAUCCUUCCUAUAAAUAGCCUACUCGACUCUUCCACUUCUCAUAUCACCCCCCCUUCCGCUAUGAGUGUUCGAGACAUCCUCGAGGAAUAUGGUCGCGAAGUGCAGCUUCAGCACGCCGCCUGGGCCAUGUGCCUGAUGUCGCCCGCCGGCGUCCCUAACAGCGUAGCCGUGGCCGAGACUCAACGUCUCAACGCCGUGUUGAUCGACGUCCAUCGUCGCCUCUCCCAGGUUCGCCGCUCCGACAUUCUCGCGGACCUUCCUGCCGUCGCCUACCCCGGUACCGCUCUUGCCGCCGUCUCGGGCUCUGCUGGCACCUCGCGUGCUUUCAGCGCGCAUGGUACGAUCGCCGCUCCUGCUGUCGCCGCCGCCCCCGAUUCUCUGCCAAGGAGUCGUCGGUCGCGCGGCCAUCGCCGCUCCCGUGGGUCUUCGUCCCUUCCGGCUAUUGACCUGCGCCACUUCCUGUCGGGGUCCUCGAAGUCGGCCCGCUAGGCCCGUCGUGGGGAUAUCCGCGGUCGUGGCUACGUCCUUUCGGGCUGUGGGUCUGCCUUCGCGGGGCGACGUCUGGGGCGCCUCGUCCUUCUUCUCUCCUAUUUCUUUUUUGUAUCCGUACUAUCGCUGUUGUUAUGUGUUGUGUACUUUUUUCCGUUGUGUCGCCGGCUAUUGUAACACUUGCUUUAAUUUAAUGAAUGAUUUUCCUUCGUGUCUUUCUCUUUUGGUUUGACUUUGCCCCCCCACGUUGGUGCAAAUUUGCGCUACUCGGCGUCCUCUGCCGACGUUGCCCGAGUCCUUCUUGAGCUUUGCCCUCGCUCCUGUGGCCCCCCGGCCUAUCCAGUCCCAUCCAACCCAGGUAAGCGACGCCUCGUCUUCCGCACCCUCGAACCCUUAUAUAAACCUCGCUUCCCUGCUUCCCUCCUUCACUCGCGACUAACUUUCACUUCCUCUUGCCUCACUCUCCGUCUUCCCCGACUCCGACUUCCUCCCUUUACCAGGUUGCUUACGGCUGCUGCUCCCUGCUCCGCUGCCGGCUCCUCCGCCGUUGCUCAAGCCGACGCCGGCGCCGCUCUUGCCGAGUCACUUUUCGACGCUCCCACCAGCAAGAAUCCGCUGUCUACCGUUGGAGUCGACGUGAUCCGGGAGGCUCUGGUGAAGAUGGGCCAGCCGAAUCUACUUUUUACCGAGGCCGGAAAUCGCCUCGCUUCUAACCCGCCGCCGGGCAUGGUCGCCCUUUACACGCCCUACGCUGAUGCCGGCCUCGUUCUUCCGCUUCCCCCUCUGGUGGCCGAAGCGAUGCAUUUCUGCGGCAUCUCAGUCUCCCAGUUCCCCCCGGCUGCCAUCGACCGCAUGAUGACCUUCACCCUGCUCUGCCAUCGGUCCGGCAUCGAAGUCUUCCUGCCCGUCUUCCUGAUCUGGUUCACUAUGACUUCGAUGACCACCGAUCCCCGUCGUCUGCUGAUCGCCCAGAGGUCGGGCGGUGCCCUCUUCGACCAGCUGGUCAACCGAUCUCACCACUGGCGGGACCGGUUCUUCUUCGUCCCCGUCAGCGCCCUUGGGCCGGCCGAAUCGGAGGCGACUCUCCCCUCACGCUGGGCUCUGCUGACCCUGUUGAAGACCCGGACCGCCGCCCCCAGCCGAGACGCAUUAACGCCCCUGGCCCAGAUCGCCCAGGAGGUUCUGAUCGAAAUUUACCGCCGCGGGGCCGUCAACGCUCGGACGCUGGCCCAAUCUUGGAGCUUCGAGGAGCAUCGGGCCUUUCCCGUCAAGAUGCCUUACUUCCGGGACGGCCCGCCCAAGCGUCCGAAGAAAAGGUCGCACGACGCCGUCCAGUUUCAGUCCCCCGCUUCUCCACCUGUGCACACUCCCGAGCGUGGCGUCCCGGCCGAAUCUGACACCGGUCUUCUAGACAGCCGAGCCGAGCGACGACGACGGAAGAAAGCUCGGGCCGAGAAAAGGAAGUCUGUCGCCGCCGCCUUGGAGACGGUCGUGGUUGAGAACUUGGACUCCUUCGAACCCAGUUGCUUCGAUCCCCCGUCUGCUGAGCUCGCGGACUCUCGCCUUCGGGCAGAUGGGUUGGAUCCUGAGGGCUUUCGCUCCCUCCUGCAGAGGCUCGAGCACUCUAUUGACUUCUCCGCUCCCGUCGACCCUGCGUCCUCCUUGCCCCGCCUCGGCGGGAUCUUCAGGCAGAAACUCAACGAUAUCGAGUCCUGGCUGGCGCCAGAAGACGAGUACAUUCAACUGCUCGCCCGCCCCCCGUCGGCCCUCGACCUUGACCUGUUCCACCAGAUACUACAGCUUUCGGUUCUCACCAAGGUUCGGUUGGAGCAAGGCCUUCGGCAGAGCGAGGAGGUUCAGCGGUUGCAGACCGAGCUUGCCGCGGUGAAAGGUCAACUGGACGCGGCCGAGCGUGAGCGGGAUGUUCUGGCUGUUGACGUGUGCCGAGCUGCCGAGGAGGAGAAGAUUCGGGCUGCUGCCGUGAAGGACGCUGCUGCCGCCGCCGCGAAGGAAGCUCAGGACGAGUUUAUCAAGGGCUUCGUUCCUACCUUCGAGGCCCGUUUGGCCGGACUGAAGGAGGACCACACCGUCUUGCUGAAGGACUCCAAGCGCAGCGGCUUCUGGAAAGGUUACGUGCAUGGACGCCGGAUGUGCGAGCUCGCCUACGCGCUCCUGUCGUACGGUGUCGUACCCCGGAGCCGACUCGAGUGGGAAGACUGGAAGAAAACGAGCGUCCCCACCUACCAGCCUCCCUUGGAUGUGAGCGACAGUGAGGAGCAGAACCUUGAGGCCGACUUCCCCGAUUACACCGAGCCUCCCUUCGAGUAGCUUACCAUUCGUUCUUUUCUCUUUUUUUUUGUAUGGAAACACUUUAACUUUUCCCUUGUAAUAACACUUAACCUUUUUUUUUUACUUUUACACUUGUUCGUGGAUCUUUGAUAUUCUUGAUUGCCGCCUGCUUUUCUUCUUACUUCUCGUCCGUUUACUAGCCGUCCGCGCCCCUUCUGGGUGGCGUUGCCGCUUGUUUAGGUGCCCCGCGCGGUUUGCUGGCUAGGGACGUCCCGGCCGGUCCUUUCUCCGCUCUGAGCGUCCUUUUUACUUCAAUUGUUUUCUUUCCUCGAGGAAGCGACCUGGGCCCUUCGGACGUUCCCGUGCGGCCUUUCGGCCUCGGGGACCUUCCGCUAGCCUUUUCGGCGGGCUUCCUCGCUCUUUUCUUGCCUCGCAACAUAUCGCUUUCGCGUUCUUACUCGUUGUGUUUUCUUUUGAGGGGGGCGGCCUGGGCCAUUCGGAUUGUCUCAUGCGGUCGUCCGACCCUGAGAGCUUUCCGUUAGCCUUUUCGGCGGGCUCCCCUGAUUUUUUACUUCUCAUUUUUUCUUUCAAUGGGUGCACUCCGGGUGCGUUUUAUUGGGCAUCGCGUGCCGUGGUCGGGGAGACGCCCGACAUUACAAUGGAUGGGGGUAGUAAAUAAAAAAAACAAAGGGAGAAAACUAUCUCGCCGGCCUCAUACGCGUUGUUUCACCGCCUGUACUUCUCCAGGUUUUCGGCGUGCCACGUUCUUUCAAUUUCCUGCCCGUCCUCAUACCCUAGGCGGAAGAUGCCUGGUUGAAUCUCGUCCACGAUGACGUACGGGCCCUCCCACCUUGCUGACAAUUUACCCUUUGUCUGGUCGACUCCUGUUACCUUGGCGUUUUUCAACACCAGGUCGCCUAGCGCCAGGUUCUUGUCGGCCACUCUUUCGUUGUGGUACCUUGCCACCCUUCGUUUGUAAGUGAGGUCCCUGAUAGACGCCUCCUCUCUUCGGCUCUCUAGGUGCUCCCUUUCUAGGAACAUCGCUUGGUCGUUCGUCCCCGGCUGGAACUGCUCGAUGUGUGCGGUCGGCCGUACCAAUUCGGCCAGUGCUACCGCCUCCAUCCCGAAGGCGAGGGCGAAAGGGGUCUGGCCCGUGGGGGUCCGGAUGGUCGUGCGGUACGCCCACAUGGUCUCCGGGACUAAGUCCGCCCACUUUCCCGGGUGUUCGCCUACUUUCCUCUUCAGGAUCGAUGUUAUCGUCCUGUUCGUGACCUCUACUUGUCCGUUCGCCUGCGGGUGGUAGACUGGUGCGAAGCUCAACUUGAUCCCACUGUCUUCGCAGAACUCCCUUAACUUCUUGCCCGUGAACUGCGUUCCGUUAUCCGUUAUUAUCUGGAUCGGGAACCCGAACCGGCAGACGAUGUUCCUGAAGACGAAGUUCAGCACGUUCUGUUCGCUAAUCGUAUUUGUGGCCUCCGCCUCGGCCCACUUUGUGAAGUAGUCGACCGCUACGAAUAGGAACUUCCUUCCUCUUGACGCCGGUGGGAACGGCCCUACUAUGUCAAUUCCCCACCUUACGAAUGGGACCGGUGUUGUUACGGCUUUCAUCAUGGUAGACGGCCGCCUCUGGACGUUUGAAUGCCUCUGGCAUUCAUCGCACCGGUCGACGAUCUCUUCCGAGUCCUUUAUUGAUUCGGGCCAGUAGUAGCCUUGCCUGGCUACUUGCUUCUCCAGCGCCCUACCACCCUGGUGCGCUCCAUUCGCCCCCUCGUGAAGGCUCCGUGCGACGGCUUUCCCAUCUUCCCGCGAGACGCAUAGUCGCAGGGGGGCCUCCUCCGCUGCCGACCAUCGGUACAGCUUGCUCUGGGCCACCACAAACCAGGCCGCUUUGUUCUUUAGCUUCCUGGCCUCCAUUGGGUCUGCUGGCGCUUCGCCCUCCUCGAUGAAUCUCUUGAUCGGCGUUCUCCAAUCCCCCGACGUUAUUAUGCCGCACACCUCUAUCGGCUUGGGGCUGCCGGCCAUCGUUGGCCGCUCUUGGUUCUCAAUCCGGAUCCACCUUCCUUCCGCUUUUCCUGGGGAUGCUCCCAGCUUGGCCAACGUGUCGGCCUCCCCAUUGUUCUCUCUCCCUAUCUGAGAGAUCCUCCACUCUUCGAGCUUGCCCAGAGCCGCUCUCGUUUCGGCCACGUAGCUCGCCAUUGAGUCCUCCUUGGAUACGAAGUCCCCUCUGACUUGGUUAGCUACCAGCCGGGAGUCCGUGUGGAAGUGCACCCUGGACGCGCCCAACGCACGAGUUAGCCUGACCCCCGAUAGGAGGGCUUCGUACUCCGCCGCGUUAUUGAUCGCCCGGAACUCGAAGUGGAUCGAAUACUCGAUCUUUUCCCCUGUCGGGGACUUGACCACGACCACCGCGCCGCAGCCGCUGCUGCUGGACGACCCGUCUACAUGGGCCGUCCACCACUGUUCGUCCGUCUUCUCGCCCUCCCUCGGAGUCAGUUUGGCCAUGAAGUCCGCCACCGCUUGUCCUUUAAUCGCCCUUGCCGGCACGAUAACCAGGUGGAAUUCACUAAGUUCCAUGGCCCAUUUGGUCAGUCUUCCCGAAACGUCCGGCUUUUGCAGCAGUUGGAGUAGCGGGUAGGCCGUUGGGAUCGUGACAGUGUGGACGUGAAAGUAUGGCUUCAACCUUCGGACUGCCGAGACCACCGCCAGGGCUAGUCUUUUGAUUUCUGGGUAUCUCUCCUCCGCUCCUAUCAACGACCGGGAAUGGUAAUAUACCGGCCUUUGCGCGCCUCCCGCCUCCGAGAUUAGUACUGCGCUGACGGCCACCUCUGAGCACGCCACGUACAUGGUGAGUGGUUUCCCCCUUGUUGGGGGGCGGAGUGUUGGCAGGCUCGAAAGCUGGAGCUUGAGUUCUUUGAAAGCCGCUUUGCAUUCGUCCGACCAUACCACCCUGGGUCCUGGGUUCCUUAACAAUUGGAAGAAUGGCUUCAAACGGUCCGCCGUUCUUGGCAGAAACCUGCUUAAUGCCGCCACCCUUCCAUUUAGCUUCUGGACUUCUUUCAGCGUCCGCGGGGGGUUCAUAGCCAUAACGGCCUCGACCUUCUCUCCUCUUGGCUCGAUCCCCUCGGGCGUGAUUCGGAAGCCCAGAAAGUGCCCCUCCUUGACCCCGAACACGCACUUCUUGGCCUUUAGUUUGAGCCCUGCUUUCCGGACGUUGGCGAAGGUCUCUUCUAAGUCGGCCAUGUGCGUUCUGGACUCCUUCGAUCGGACGAGUAUGUCGUCCACGUACACCUCCGCGUUUCUGCCUAUCUGUGCCUCAAACACUUUGUCCAUUAGCCUCUGGAAAGUCACCCCGGCGUUGCGUAAGCCGAAAGGCAUUACUUUAAAGCAGAAGGUGCCCAUUUCUGUGAUGAACGACGUCUUCUCCUCGUCUUCCCGCGCCAUGGGCACUUGGUUGUACCCCGAGUGUGCGUCCAUAAAACUCAACAUUUCGCACCCGGAGCUCUGGUCCACUAGCCGGUCCACCGACGGCAGCGGGUAACUAUCCUUGGGGCAUGUUUUGUUAAGGUUGGUGAAGUCGACGCACAUCCUCCAUCCCGCGUCUGCUUUCCUCACCAUUACCACGUUGGACAGCCAGGCGGGGUAACGCACUAGGCGGAUGAAGCCCGCUCGGAGGAGCUUCUUGACCUCUGUCUCGGCCGCCUCCCUUUUUUCCGCCCUUAGCGGACGUAGCUUUUGCCUGACGGGGUGGGCGCCCGGGGCUACCGCGAGCCUAUGCUCCGCCAGCGUCCUAGGCACGCCGCUCAGCUCCCCCAGCUCGUUUGCAAACAGGUCCUCGUUUCUCCUAAGGAGCUGCUCUAGCUCCUGAAAUCCUGCGGGAGGUCCCUUCCUAUUCGCACCUCGCUCCGACCCAGGCCCAUUUGGGUCGUGUGGGACGCUGGCUCAGGCCUCGUGACGUGCUCCCGCAUCGAAUGCGGUAGGCCUUCGCCUGACGUCAUCACCUCGCCGACCGAGUUGAAGUAGUACUCGCGCGCCUUCUUCUGAGACCCCCUGACUGUGCACACUCCCCCUUCGGUUGGGAACUUGAGGCAUUGGUGGAGCGACGACAUUACUGCCUGGAAAGCAUGCAGCGCCGCCCUCCCCAGGAUGGCAUUAUAUUCGGACGUGAAAUUCACGACUGUGAACGUGACUUCGACCAUCUUUGCUUGGGCAUGUCGUCCCAGGGUGAUUGGGAUGGAAAUUGUUCCCGCCACCGGGACUUCUGACUGUCUGAAAUCUCUGAUGGGGGCCCGGCAUGGGAGUAGGUCCGUGCGGGCCAGGCCGAGGUCGACGAAGGCGUUCCAAUACAGUAUAUCCACGGACGCCCCUGUGUCCACCAGGACCCUGUGUAGUCGUACGCUGGACUUGUCCCCUCUUUGGAAGAUGGGGGUUAUGACUAGGGGAUCGUUGUGGGGUGUGGUGUGGUGACGUCCUUCAUAUCGUCCUCCGUGAACGAGAUCUCUAUGUUCGUCCGCGGGCGUUUGGCCCCUGUCGUCCGGUCUACGUCGGACGCGUAUCGCCGCCCCUCCCAUGGGUCGUCGCCUCUCGAAGCCCCUCCUUCUGCGAUGGUGAGGAUGUCCCCUAUCGCUUCGUCCGCUGGCUCUUGCUUCAGCGUUUGGUGUCCCGUGGGUAUUACCGUCGGGCGCCUUGCUGUCGGGGCAGGUGGGGCUCCGGUUGCGGGUUUCAUUUUGUUCAGGACCCUCGCCAGGUUCAGACAUUCGGCCGUCGUGUGGCCGUUAUCCUCGUGAUACUCACAAAAUCUGCGAGUGUCUCUGAACGCUGCCGUGUCCUUCCUCAUUGGCCUUGGCGGGGGCAGGUUUCCCGUUCCGCUCAAUGUGAGGAAGACCUGCCUUUGAUUUGCCGCCGGGGUAGGGCCUACUUCCCUUCGUCCGGCUCCUAACGGGGUGCCGGUCCUGUACACGGGCGCCUGUGGCGCAACCGGGGGCUUGGCCUGCAGUUGUUGAUGCUGAGGCUGGCUCUGCUGCUGCUGCCCCCCCGUGUUUGCGGGGGUGCCUUUCCCCCUCUGUUGCCACCUGCACUCCAGGAUCUUCGCACCCAAGUAGUCUUCCACGUUGCAUUCUCUGUGGGAUCUUUCCAUGGCCUCGGCGAAGGUUCUCGGUGGCUUUCUCACCAGGUCCCCCGCCAUGUACAUGGGUCGGAGGCCGUUUGUGAGGGCGUACAACACCACUUCUUCCGAAAUCCCCUCGAUCUUCUGCACCUCACUCGCGAACUGAUCCAUGUAUGUGCGCGUGCUCUCCGACUCUCCCUGCGCAACGGUACUGAGAGUGGCCUUGAUCUUCGGCCUCCUUCGACGGUGCGGGAAGGCCGCCCGGAACACUGCCACCAGGCCCUCAUAUGUGUGCACGAACCCAGUCGACAGCGUCCUGUACCAGGCUAUCGCGUCGCCCGUCAGGGCCCUGCGAAACAUUCAACACCAAAUGUCCUUCCUGCUCGUCCUGUCCUCCAUGUUGGUCUUGAACGAGUGCAGGUGAUCCUCCGGGUCUGUGUCGCCUUUGUAAUAUGGGAUCUUCGGGGCCCUCUAGCCCAGCGGGUACUCUUCAUCUAGCAAAUGUUGCGCUAGGGCCUCUCCGCCGUCCCCCCCUAAUGCCGGUACUGCAAUGGCUUGCCGGGCCUCCGCGGGUGGGGUAUCGCCCCCAGGUCCCCCGCCCGGGGGGGUAUUGCUCCCGGGUCCUCCAGCCGGGGGGGCCGGUCCGUACAUUGGAUCUCCGGUCCCACCCCCGUCCGACUCCAGGGUGUGGGGGGUCACCGUGAGCUGAUGUACCUGUUCCUGCAGGUGGCGCUGGCUCUCCUGUAGGGUAGAUAUCAGCUCCACGAGCUGCAUCCUUUCUCGCUUGCUCUCUCUUUCCGCGCGCUCCCUCUCCCCCUCGCGCUCCCUUUGUCGGAGCCUCUCGUGCUCCCUUUCCCUUUUCUCCCGGGACCGCGACCGGGACCGCGCUCUCCUAUCCCUUGGUUGGGGCGCCGGCCUGCUUCGCCGGCUCCUUCUGGGCGACUCCCACCCGUACCUUAUCUCCUCGAACUCCAUGCGCAACCUCUCCUCCUGAGCGUCCCACUCCUCGUUGGCCCUUCUUCCGAGUACCGGUCGCGGGAGUGGUGCCGCGCCGGCUGGUACUCCACUGCUGCCCGCUCGGGCCGCUUCGAGCACUCCCCACAUGAUAUUCACUUCUCGUCAUCCUCCUCUUCUCCAGCUGUUGCGUGUUCGUUCACGUCAGGUUCACCACUGUUGGUGUGUGGGCUCGCCUGAGUAAGCUCACUGUCCAACUUAGUACAAGUGGUAACCCUAAGAAUUAUCAACCCCCUCCCCUGUUGGACCAGGGGAGGUAUUUAUAGCUUCCUGUUGCUGAUCUCGGGCCCGUCGUGGGCUCGUGUGUUGGGCUCGUCCACUCGCCUGGGCCGCCGACGGGUCCUGUUCGGUCCGUGGGCCGCAGUCCGCGGUCCAUGGUACCGACAAGUUGAAAGUUUACUAUAAAACUUGAGAGAUUCGUAAACACAGUAGCCUUGAAAGCUUACAGAGGUUCGUAAUCGUGUUAGCCUUGAAACUUACACAAAGGAUAUUCAUAUAAGAUAUUAACUGAUGAGAAUGAGAUGUUAUGUCUCAUAGAUAUAUAAAACUCUAUAUCUAAUAUCUAUGGAUAAAAGAAAUAAUUAAUCAAUUAAUGGAAAUAAACUAAUCAAAUAAAGUCUUAAAGAUGAACUAAACAGUACCAAAUUACCAAUCCAAAUAUAUAUAAUAAAUAUGUUUUCAAGUUUUGCAAACUCACAAUAUAAAACUCACACACCACAAACUCAUAAUAUAAUUAAACUCACAACAUUGCUAAAUUUUUUUUUGCUAUAUUUUAUAAAUCCUCCUCUCUUAUUCCUUUAUUAUAAAUCCUCUUCUUUUUGCAUCGAUUUUUUGCUUGCUGGUCCUCCCAAAGCAAUUUAUUAAACCAUUCUUCGCUACAAUUCAUGGAAUCCAAAUUUGGUGCACUAUUUUCACCCAUAAACAACCGAUUCAAUUUCUCACAAUUCCACACACGAAGAGACUUCAAUGAAUGCCAUUCCAUUUCCGAUUUUUCAUAACACUCUUGUUUCCAGACAUUCUCCAAAUUCGGUAAAUUGCUCAAUUUUAUAUGUCUUAGCUUGGGAAACAAUGUCUUUGCUUUGGAACCUCUAACACCUUGGUCAUCUUUUUCAAUGAUAUUUUCUAACUCAGAACAAAAAAAAAUCUCCAACUUUUCUAAACAUACAACACAUUCUGCCACAUUCCAUGGAAAAAUAAACUUCAAUCGAUUGCAUGCAUAAAUUGAAAUUCUUCCAAGUCUUUCAAACGAUUUGGUGGGUAUUAUGGUUUGAGUUCCAGUAUUCACAAACAUAUUUUCAAUUGCAACCAUCUCCAGAACUAUAUAUUCUAGUUUUGGUAGAAUUGGAUCACUUUGUGUGUUAUAUUGGAUGAGAUUCUUCUAUUUCCUGAAAUAUCCUAGGUCCAGUCUUUUCAAAUUGCACAAUAAUUUCACGAUAUCUUGUUCUAUCACUGAAGAAAUUUCUUGUGUGGCGCAAUUGUCGAAAUCACACAUAGACAAUGCUUUUGUUUUCUCAAUCAAAAGUACUUGUGACCAUUUCGCAAAAUUGCUUAACUGAACAUAAGGAAGGACUAACAUAUUUGAACUCCAAACUCUUGGCUCAUCAUAGGACCUAAUAUAUCUGAUGGAAAAGUAUUCAACUGAUGGGAUAACGAGACUUGGUGCAUAUUCACGAGAAAAGAUAGUUUUAUCAUCUAUAUCAAUAUGAAGUGAGUAUAAAUUUUCCAAAUCUUUUAGCUCCUCAAAUGCCACAUAGUCACCGUCUUCUUGAUUGUAAGCUUUCCAUUUGCUGUAGCUCCCUUGCAUGUAUAAUUCUUCUAAUGUGUCUCUUAGAAUCGAAAAAACUUUCGGUCUUAUGAUAACUAUCACGGUGUUUGAAAAAUCAAUCGAUCUAAGAUGAAUAAGCUUUUUACUAAACUCCUGAUUUAGCUCUGAGAUGUGUACAUUCUGCAAGCAAAGAACUGAAAGAUGUUGCAAGAAGAAAAGGUCUGUUGUAUCGACUGUGAUAUUUUGAUGAAGGGUUUCGAACAUUAGAACACGAAGCUUCGCUAGUUUCUGAAGGCAUGUUUCAGUGAAUUCUUUUAUAGAUAUCGAUGUUCCCCUCAAGUCCAAGAACAAUAAAUUUGCCAUCCUUUUAAAGAAAUCAGGAGGAAUGCUUUCCAAUAUCUUGUUACCAUUGAAUGAUAAAAACUGCACUUCACUACGUAGUUGAUCUGUUAAAUUUAAAUUUUGAAUAGAAGUGAUGAACUUUUUGAUAUUGAAGAAACCUUCGAAUUCAUUCUCCGCAAUAGAAAUAGCUACAUCCCGAAUAACAUCAUGCAUCCUCGCUGAAUUUUUCUUGUCUUCUUUUUCUUCUACAACAUCUUGUAAUAACCCUUUCCUCUUCAAACUUAUAAAUAUAUCACGAUAAGUAUUCAAUGCUCUUUGUCCACGAUAAGUAUUCAAUGCUCUUUGUCCUCUAUCUUUCCUUACACACUUAUCUGCUGGUCCAAUGUCAUAGCAAAUAAAAUCUUUCAAUUGAAUUUCUUGACCUUGAGGAAAUAAGCUACAUAGUAGGAAACCCAUCUUCAAAUCAUCUUCUUCUAGGUCUUCAUAACUAAACUUCAGUGGAACGUACACAUCUUUCACAAAAUUAGACACUUUUUGAGGACAACCUUCACUUAGAAAAUUUAAACACUUAUUCCAUUUAAUCUCUUCUUCUUCUCCACGAAGUGUUUUUGCAACAACUGAUAUCGCUAAAGGUAGCCCUGCACACUUUCUACAUAUUUCUUGUGCUAUAUGGUUUAUUCUAAGAUGAUUAGGGUUAUUAUUAUCAUCAAUAUAGGAAUAUUUUCUGAAGAACUUCAAAGAUUCAGUUUCAUCAAGUCUUGCAUUCAUCUUGAUCUGUUCGGCCCCCAGUCUCUGACAAAUAUCUUGGUCUCUGGUUGUCAGAACAAUCUGACAACGUAGAUUUUCAUCAUUAAUGUCGAUACCGAUAUCAGUAAAGUUUAGAUCAUCCCUUACAUCAUCGAAUAUAAUCAAACUUACAAUUCUUUUCAAAUGAUAUGAAAUUAUUCCUGCUCUGACACGGAUCUCAUCUUUAGUCUUGAAUUCUUUUAACUCUUUAGUGGAGUAAAAACUACGAGCGAUAUUAUUUUGGAUGGUCUUGGUAUCAUUGUGUGAUACUGUUACCCAAAUAACAAAAAUGUUACCCCUUUGUCCCAUUUCAUUGUUAAUCUGCUGCAUCAAUGUGGUCUUCCCAAUUCCUCUCAUUCCCCACAACCCAAUCACUCUUUUAUUAUCUAAUGCUGCAUAUACUGAAUUUUUAGUACCUUCAAUAGAGUCAACUGAUAUGUAGUCGAUGGGUUGAUGCUCCACACCUUGCAAAUAACCGGCCUAACAACGCAAUCUUCUAAGCAAAUCCCUUAACUGAGGAGAUAGAAAUUCCAAACAUCGUGGUACACCCCAAUCUACCACUGCUAAUACUGCCUGUUUUACUAUAGGUAAUAUGCAAGCUGACACCAUCUAGAGUCCCCUCACUGCAACAAAUACACUUUCAAUUUUGUUAUUAUCGAGUAAAGUUAAAUAUAAAGAUUGGAUUUUUAAUAGAAAUAUAAAUCCAUAAAUUAAAAACACUAGAUAUAGAUAACAUAAAUCCAUAAUAAAAAAAGUAACUUAAAAACUCAAAUAUAAAAACAUAUAAAAACAGUAACUAAUUAAAAACUAAAAUAGAUAAACUCUAAACCCUAAACUAAAAACUCUUAACCCUAAACUAAAACACCCAAAAAUACAUAAACCCUAAAAUACACAAAUCCCAAAUACAUAAACACUAAAAUAGAUAAAACCCCUAAAUACAAUAAUCAAAUAAACCCCAAAUCAAAAUAAAUAAAUGAAGAUCAACAUUAAAUCAAUAUUUAACAUAAAUAAUCACAAAAUCAAUAAACCCCAAAUCAUAAAAAGAAGAUUACAUGAAGAAGAAAAUAGAAGAAUACAUGAAAAAUAAGAAGAAAAACGGGAAUAAGAAGAAGAAGAAGAAAUAAAUCAAGAAGAAGAGAGAAAGAUGAAGAAGAAGAUGAAAAGAAGAUUUACCUUUGAUGACCACAAGAAGAUGACCGGAGUGGAGUUGGGGAAGCCUAGAUCGUCGGAGGAGAGUUGGGGAAGAUUAGGGAGGAGUGGAAACGAUUUGGGGGGAAAUGAAAGAAUCUGGAUUUUUUUUCUUAUAUAAAAAAUUUCCGGCGGCCAGGCCGCCAGGAAAUACUUAAGUUCGAGUUGACUACGUUUGACUAUACGAGGGACCACGACAGCGCAAGUUGUAAUUUUAGGGUUUCUAAAAAAUCCUAGCGACCAGGCCGCCGGCUACUAAAAAAAUAAACGGGAAAAAGUAUCCAGCGGCCAAGCCGUCAGAAAUUUCUCUCCCGACCGUUGAGGGUUUUAGGAUACCGUCGGCCUAGUCACCGGCUCACUUCUUCCCGACCGUUGGGGAAAUUGGAGCUGGCGGCCAGGCCGCUGGAUUUUUUUACAAAAAAAUAUACCGUCGGCCUGGCCGCCGGGAGAUGGGCGCCAGAAUUGUGCUGGUUUUUUGUAGUGGACGACCGCAGCAGCGUCGGCAACAACUUUGGAAGUGGCCUGGGUCGCCUCGACCACCCCGUCCACAUAAACCCGAUGCGCCUCGACGUCUUUGGAAGCAUCCUCCACCAACUGAUCCCGCUUUUUGAGAGCAGUCGAGAGUUCACCCGUCAAGCGACCGACCUGGUCUUACAAUUGCGUUAACUCCUCAGCCUGAUCGGUGCCCCGCUGAAGACGGAUCCUCGAAAGAGCGGAGAGGUGGAGCAGCUGAUGGUAGAAAUCACGGUUGAGAUCCGGGAGGUCACGGAAGAACUGUCUCUGAUACUCUUCCUCUUUUUGCAUCCAAGACUCGAUGUUGUUGUAGCUCUCCAGAAGUAUCCCAGCGAGACGGGGAACAGACGAAGAGGGUUCGACCUCCGAAACACGAUCGAGGAACUUAGAUGAAAUAACGCAGGAGUUAAGCAACGCCUGAAAGUUGUGGUCCUCCAGACCCUCGGACAAGUCGACUCUCGAGCGCUCAAGCCCCCUGCUCACCGCCCGAAUGGGGUUUUUCAGGAGAAGAGGCGGGGUUUUCUUCUUCUUCUUCUUCUUCUUCUUCUUCUUCUUCUUCUUCUCGACAAUCACUUUCCUCUUCUUCUUCUUCUUUUUAUCCUUCCGCGAAUCAACAAGGACAACCUCAAAACCGGCAUUGGAGCGUGCAGGCGAAGGAGACAAAACUGGGAUCUCUUCAGAGGACCAUUUUUUAUCCAUCUGAAGCGGGACAUCUCGCUGGUAAUCCAACCGAAGUGCCAACUUCAUAUGUUUGUCAAAGGUCCAAGACGACCCCAAUACUCGCGAACAUCCACGGCCCUCGAUGAAAGACACGGAUGAGCACCUCGUGCGCGUUCUUUUCCUAAGGCUCCAAGUCAGCCAUGGCAACGGGGGUCAUGCGGGUCUUCAGCAUACUAAGAAGGGCCCAUCGGGUCGAAGGCGGCGAGUCAACAUCAAUCGGGCCAAUGACUCCCACCGACACGAGGAAGUAGCGAUCGCGCCAAUUAUGGGAACGAUCGAUUAUGUGGUCUAGGAUCGGAUACCCCGCACGCCCGGAGAUCAGCACACGUCGAGGGUCCGUGGGCAUCGAGAGAAACUGGUACCAAAUCCGGAACACGGACAACGAGACCUCGAUCCCACACUCCUGACAGAGCAAGGAAAAGGUGGUGAGGUGGUCAAUGACGGCCGGAGGGAGUUGCGAGAACAUCACUCCGCAGUAGCGCACCAUUUCAUUCAGAAAGGGAGAAAGGGGCAACUUCAGACUAGCAUCGGCGUACGGAGUGUAGAGAGAAAUCAUGCCGGACGGCGGACGAGAAGCGAGCUGGCCUCCCGCCUCCUCAAACUCGAUAACAUCAGGGCUUAUCCGCGCCAGCUACUCGUGGAUGGCCUCGAUGGUAACGACUGUCGGUGGGUCUUUGAUGUCGGGCAAAUCAAACAUUCCGGUGAGGAUAUCCAUGCCAGAACAGCGGCGAUCGACUAAUCGAUGGUUGUCGGAAGAGUGGCCAUCACAAACCUAGAAGGAGAAACCGAAGAAUGGAGAGCGGGAGAAGGGAAGAACAAAAGUGGAAUGUGAAAAGUGAAGAAAAGAAACGGAAGGGGGGUUAUAGUAUGAGGUCCGACACACAGACCACGAUAUUAAAAGACGUAUCCCAAAAUAUCGAACACGUAAAGGAGGGGGGAAUACUGGUGAUACAGUAUCCCGAACUUGGUCACCACGCACCAGCAACUAAAGAUUCGGAUCACUUCCUGGUAGAGAUCAAGCUUAACUAUUGUAUUUUAUUUAUUUUUAUCUGCCUAAAACAAUAUUUACUAUGUUUGUAUGCUUGUUUGUUUUUAGGAGAUCUUCACUAAUUUUGAUUGAAAAAUCUCUUUUGUUAAGAGAUAAUCAAGUGAAGAUCAUAAAUAGUUAUGCUUAAUCUUUGCUCGUUUAAGCUACUUGAUGUGUUUUAUUUCAGUAUGUUUUAUUCAAGUUAUCUUAUUUAUGCUUAAGCUAUAUUUGAUAUGUUCUCCUUAUAUAUUGCUUAAAUUAUAAUAUUUAUCUUGUUUUAUACUUAAGCUACAUUUGAUAUAUCUUCUUUAUAAUUGCUUAAGUUAUAAUUGUAGAAUUUAUUUUAAAUGCAUGCUCUAUAUGCCUAUGUGAUUUUUACAUGCAACUAUCAUAUUCAAUACUUUACAUCAUUACAUACUUGUAUAUGAUAACAUGCACUCACGUUUAAUACAUGCAUGUUAAAACAUAAACCCAUAAUAUAAUUGAUUAAUUUUAUCAAAAAAAUCAUUUAGAAAAUUUAGGGGUUUAAAUGCAAAAAAUCACAUGCAUAUUGAGAUGAUAAAUAUUCCAUUUAGUCCAUUGCAUUUAACUUAUAUUUAUUGGGCUAAUACAUAUAUCUCAAUAGUUCAAGUCGAUUUUCAUAAAUAUAUAUAUCACUUGGAUUAGGGCAAAUGCAUAAAAAGAUUCUCAAGUCAUUCAAGUCAUUUACGUGAAAUUAUUUCAUCUAUGCAAAAAUAGAAAUUCACGUAAAAUAAUUUGGAUAUAUGCUUAAUGGAUAUCUUAUGAUCCAUAAUGGGCAAAUACUUUAUUUUAAAUUAAUUGGCCCAUAUUAUAUGACUUUCUAAAAUAAUUGUUACUAUCUAGAAAAGUCAAAGAAACAAGGUUAAAGUCAAAAUUCGGAACACCUCUUUGUUAUAUUGCAAGGGGAGAAAGACCCAGGUAUGAUAUAACCUGAUAUAGGCCAUGAACGUUUCUUGAAAACGGAUUUAACAGAUUGAAGUAAUCUGUCCAGAAUGAUGUCACGAAAGCAAUGAAACAAUAAUUCUUGAUUAGGGUUUAAACUCCCUUGAGAAUCGAUUGAAGAUUGAACGAUUAUCCCAAUCCAAGGAUAAUCGAUAAUUGUGAAUUGGAAAGAAUUGUAGAAUCUAUGGAAAUAAAGGAAGAAAUAAAUAAAUAAAAGAAGAAUUAACGUUGACAAAUACCUAGAAUAAAAUAAAACUCAACUAGUCUCCACCUUUAGGGUCCACUUAUAUUUAUACUCUCAUUGUUUAAGAGUGGAAAGUCUACCAUGAGAGUCCAAGGGCUCGAUUAGAAUCGAGUCUAUUAGUAAUGCAAGCACUUAUAAGGACUGCAUCAGGCGACCCAUCUUGGAAUACAAUUGUCCUUAAUUGGUUGUCUUCCUCUGCAGGUAGAUAAUAUAUUCUUAAAUUUGCCACAUUGAAGGUUGAUGACAUGUUGAAUUCUGGAGGUAGAUCUACUAUAAAAGCAUUGUCACUAAUCUUCUUUAGUAGCUUGCAAGGUCCAAAAUUCCUGUCCUUCAGUUUAAAAUAAGAUCUUGCUGGAUAUCUGUCUUUUUUUAAGUGAACCAUUACCAAAUCAUUUUCAUUGAAAGUCCGAAAUCUUCUAGACCUAUCAGCUCUUUCCUUGUAGAGAUCAUUGGCUCUGGUUAUUGAUUCUUCUACUUGCUUGUGUAUUAAUUUGCUGGAUUCUAUAAUAUCUUCUACCUUCUUAUUUACUGAAGGUGUGGAGGUAACUGUAGAAUCAAAAUUAUCGAUAUAGGAUUAUAUUUUAAUCAUGUUAAUUUUAACCCUAAUUACACUAUUGAUCUAACGGUUAAAAUUAGUCAAGAUUAAACCUAUCUUAAAUUAAUUAAGUUAAAGGUUUAGUCAAAGUCAAAUAAGUACAAUUGCAUAAAACACCUUGAAUAUAAUUAUUAUUGUUAUCUAACAUUUUAUUCAAGGUACAAUAACUAAUGAACAAGAGAUACUAUUCACAAAGAAAUCUUCUCAAGGGGACAAAGAUAGCUUUAUUAGAAAUUAUUAUUCACAAAAGCAAGCAUCUACUAUUCAUAAAAGAAUCUUUCCAAGAAAAGAGAAGACAAGUCUUGGACUUUUGUGAGGAAUCAAGGAACCAUCCAUUGAAGAUCCAAGGGUUGACAAGUGAUGACCUAGGCUAUAAAUAGAAGGGCAAACCCUCCAUUUUCGUCCACCACACUUCAAGCACUUCAAAGAGUUUUUCGGUCCUCAUCUUGAGAUCUACAAAGUGUUCUUGCUUCCAAGUUUUCAAGCUUCCAAAAGCUCUCAAGUGUUCUAGCUUCCAAAAGCUUCAAAAUUAAAGCUCUCCAACUUCUACUUCUAACCUUUUUGUUCAUCUUUACAAGUAAAAAAAUUUGUGUGUUUAAUAUUCCACUCCUCUAAUCAUCUCUUGUGUGUGUCCACUUUAGUUGAGAGGUUUGUCUCAAGAUCACCAAAGUGUUAAAGAAGGUUUUUGAGCUAAACCAAAAAGCUCUAAGUUUGGUUUUAUAGAGUUUCCGGAGAAAACUCUUAGAUCGAAUCUACUUUGAAAGAUUUCUAAGUUUUUAAGAGUUCCUUGAUACUCUAAGGUCCUAACUUACCCGUAAAAGUUAGAGGUUUUUAAGAGUUCCAUAAUACUCUAAGGUGUGAGUCUACCCGUAAAAGACUGAUUUCUAAGCGAAGUUAGCCUUAAAGCUUAGAGAGGUUCUUAAGAGUUUCCUUGAUACUCUAAGAUGUGAGUCUACCCGUAAAAUUAAAGACUGGUUCCUAAGCGAAGUUAGCUUUAAAGCUUAGAAAGGUUUUUAAGAGUUUCCUUGACACUCUAAGGUUUUGCCAUAACCUUUAGGCUAGUGAACUCGGAUAGUUUGUCGGGACUGGAUUAGCCCUUGUUUGGAUGAACCAGUAUAAAAUCUCUUGUGUUGUUCUCUGUUAACUUUAGUAUUUAUCUAUCAUCUAAAAACUGCCAAACAACACUUAAUUUAACGGAUCCCUCUUUCAGUUACCUGGUCAAGAAUAGAGGUUGACUACUUUCCGCAGAUCUCUCAUCCAGUUAUCUGGUCAAGCAUCUGAGGUUAUUUUUAUUGUUCAAAUCUCUAUCCAGUUAUCUGGUCAAGUAUUUACUUAACAUUUUAUAUCCAGUUAACUGGUCCUUUACUCUAUAUUAUAACGUGCACUUAUAAUAUAACUUAGUAUCAAUAUACUACACUAUCUAAUAAAGCACUAUCUAAUAAGUUGACUCAGUAUUCAUAUACUGAAGUAAACUUUGAAGAGAAAAGGCAAGUUCAUAUAUAUGUAUAUAUAUAUAUAUAAUAUUAUAUUGUAAGAUAUAAUAUUAUAAUCAUUUUUAUUGUUGAUCAACCAUUUGUGUAUUAAGUGUUUACAGGUAAUUUCGCAUUUAACCUGUCCAAAUCGAAAAGAGGCUAUUAUCCCCUCUUAUAGCCUCGGAUCACGAUCCAACAGUAACAUUCAUUAUAUUCUUUGGAAGGUGGCCAUAGGCAGCUACAAAAGGUGCACAUCCCGUUGAUCUAUUUGGCAUGCAAUUAAAGGCAAAUUCCGCUUAAGCUAAAUGUUGAUCCAACUGUUUUGGUUGUUUCCCUCCUAGUGCUCUUAAUAGAUUUCCAAGUGACCUGUUAACUACUUCUAUUUUUCCAUCAGAUUGUGGGUGACAUGUAGAACUGAAUUUCAGAUUUGUGUCAAAUCUCUUUCAUAAAAUUCUCCAAAAGUGAGAUAGAAAUUUUGUGUCCCUAUCUGAUACGAUGCUACUUGAAAUGCCAUGAAGUCUUAUAACCUCAUUGAAGAAUAAUUUUGCAAUGUGAGAAGCAUAAUUUGUUUUUUUACAAGCAAUAAAGUGCACCAUCUUCGAGAAUCUAUCGACUACUACAAAAAUAGAAUCCAACCCUUUACUAGUUUUAGGUAGCCCAAGGACAAAAUCCAUAGAAAGGUUAGUCCAUAGUUUUUUAGCUACUGGUAAAGGGGUGUAAAUACCACUAUUCAGACUAGUGCCUUUUGCUUCUUGACACCUAGGACAUCUUUGCACAAAUUUUUCUACUUCUUUUCUUACUCUCGGCCAAUAAUAUCUGCUUUCUACUUGGGCUACUGUUUUAUCUCUCCCAAAAUGGCCAGCUAAUCCUCCCGAGUGUAAAUCCCUUAUUAAUUGCAGUCUCAAGGAUGUCUGAGGAAUGCAUAAUCUAUUUUCCUUGAAAAUAAAUCCUUCAUUGAUUUUGAAACCCUUAUUGUGUUUUUUCUGAAGGCAUUCCUCCCAAAUUCUCGAGAAAUCUUCAUCAGUAGGAUAUAAUUCUUUUAGACAAUCAAACGCUGCCACCUCUAAUCUUAGGACUGUUAAUAAAGAAUUUUUUCUGCUUAAUGCAUUGGCUACCUUGUUACUUGCACCAGAUCUAUGCUUUAUUGUAAAUUUGAAUCUCUGUAAGAAGGAAAACCAUCUGAUGUACAUUCUGUUAGUAUCAAAAGUUCCAUUUAUCUGUUUCAAAGCUAUAUAGUCAAUAAGGACUACAAACUCUCUCUGAAUUAAAUAAGGAUCCCACACCUUGCAUGCUCUGACAACAGCAAAUUUUAAUUCUUGCUCGUAUGUGAUCUAAUUUUUUCUGCUUGCAGUGAGUUUCUCACUGUGAAUUGCUACUGGAUGACCACUCUGACUUAGUACUGCGCCUACUCCAGAAAUGCUGGCAUCACAUUCUACUUCAAAAAAAUUAGAAAAAUCCGGAAGAGCCAAUACUGGUGCUGUUUGGAGUUUAUUUUUUAAUUUCCGAAAAAUGACUGAAGCCACAUCUGUCUGAAUUUCCUUUUCUUUAAACAGUCUGUUAUGGGACUAGCUAUUGAACUGAAAUUUUUUAUAAAUCUCCUAUAAAAAGAGGUUAGGCCCAUAAAACUACGUACCUCAGUGACUGAAGAAGGUGCAUGCUGGCCAAUUUUGUAGUGCUUCAGUUUCUCUUGGAUUCAUUUUCAUUCCAUGUGUCCCAAUGAUAAAUCCUAGAAAGCAUAGUUCCUCCGUAAAAAAUCGCACUUUUUCAGAUUUAAUUUUAGCUGAUUUUUCUCUAAUAAUCCGAAAACUGAUUUUACAUCUUUAAUGUGGGCUUCUUUGCUUUUGCUAAAUACUAAGAUGUUAUCAAAAUACACCACGACGUAGUUUCCUAACAAUGGUUUCAGUACCUCAGUCAUCAAUCUCAUGAAUGUUGAUGGUGCAUUGGAUAAUUCAAAUGGCAUCACCAUCCAUUCAUACAAGCCUUUCCUGGUUUUAAAAGCUGUUUUCCAUUGAUCCCCCUCUCUAACUCUGAUUUGGUGGUAGCCACUCUUUAGGUCCAUUUUAGAAAAAAAAUUAGCUCCUGCCAAGGCUUCCAAGAGCUCAUCCAGUCUUGGAAUAGGGAAUCUGUACUUCACCGUGAUUUUGUUUAUCGCCCUACUAUCCACGCACAUCCUCCACUCUCCAUUUUUCUUUGGGACUAAGAGUACAAGUACGGCAAAGGGACUUAAACUCGUUCUGAUCAAACCGUCUACUAGUAGUUGUUCUACUUGAUUCUGAAAAAUUUCAGCCUCUUUAGGUCCUAAUCUGUAGUGGGGCAGAUUAGGUAGAGAUGCUCCCGGAAUCAAGUCUAUUCUUGGUCAAUUUCUCUCUCAUGUGGUAGUGAUACUACUGAAUUAUUUAAGGAGAUAAGUGGAAACUCCUUCAGAAUUUGAUGUACUUCCUUAGGUAAUUCUUUUUGCUCAAUCUCUUCUUUUUCCAGACUUUUUAUUACUAGAGCUAACCCCAUAUCUUCAUUUCUCAGUUCUUCAGAAAAAUCAGACCUCUUUUGUAAUAGGAAAUUUGUGUUUAUAGCCUUUUUGCAAGUCGACUCAGGAGGAAGUGGUAGUAGGGCAAUCUUCCUACCAUCAGCUUGAAAAACAUAGGUGUUUAAUUUCCCAUGGUGAGUGGCAUUUACAUUAUAUUGCCACGGUCUGCCCAAAAGUAUGUGUGUUGCAUCCAUAUCAACUACAUCACAUACUAAUGUAUCGUUGUACAUCUUGCCAAUGGAUAGUGGGACUUUGCACAAAUAUCUAAUUUUUGCUCCCUCACUAUUUUUGAUCCAUCCUAUUGUAUAAGGCUUAAGGUGUUCUUCAAGGUUGAGUUCUAACUUUUUUGCUGCCUUCUCAGAUAUUAGGUUGUCUGUACUCCCAUUGUCUAUUUUUAUCUGACAAACUUUCCCUUAAACUGUUUCUUUGGUGCGAAAUAAAUUUGUCCGUUGAAUCUGGUAAGGAAUUUUAGGAGUGUGAAAAGAUCUAUGGAUCAAGCAAGAUAGACUUGAUCCUUCAUCGGGGUCAUACUCUUCUGCGGCCUCACUGGACUCAUCUGAAUUAAUGCCGUCUUCAUUCUCUCUCAACCCUUCACAGAAUUUUACAAAUCCCCUCCUAGGGUAGUUAUUAGCUUUGUGGCCCAUUUCAUGGCAUUUAUAGCAUCUUAUUGUGCUCCAAACAUGGUCUGUGACCCUUGAUUUUUUUUUCAUUCAGAUCUGUAUUUUUCCCUUCAGGCGUUGGCAGAAUUCCUUUGUCCUUGGAAUAGAUAGGUUUACUAGUUGAAGCUCCAAGUGAAAAUGAUGAGUACUUGUUUGUCUCUUUAGUUGUUCGGAGAUGCUUACAGUCUUCAUAAGUAAUAUUGGGACUGUAAAAUGACUUUUUCUUGAAGUGUUGAUUUUAAUCCCCCAAUGUAUCUCUCCAUUUGUUGUUCUUCAGAUUCAUUAAGGUUGUUUCUUGCUCCCAACCUAUGGAACUCCUCUGUAUAAUCAUAUACUGAACUCUGUCCAUGUCUGCAUUUCUGAUAUUUUGUAAAUAAAAUCGUUUGAAAUUCCACCGGAAGAAAUCUUUGUUUUCGCAUUUUCUUCAACUUGUCCCAAGUUCUUAUAGGUCUUUUUUGGAAUCUAGCCCUAUUCAUGGUGGUAUGAUCCCACCACACAGCAGUUCCACUUUUAAAUUUUAGUGCCACUAAUUUCACUUUUUUCGAAUCUGGAAUUUCCAUGCAGUCGAAGAAUCUUUCUACUUCUGAAAUCUAAUCUAAAAAUUCUUCUAUAUGUAACUGCCCAUUGAAUUCAGGCAGUUCCAUUCUUAAUCUAUAAUUCCCAAAUUCAUUUCUUUAAUUUCCUCCAUUGUACUCUUCAUACCUUUGUAAUGCUCCCCCUCUUGGAUAGUCUCGACGGCUCCUAUUUCUUCUUCUCUCGUACUGUAAUAAAUCUUUUUCCUCCUCUGAAAAUUCCUCCUCAGUCUGUCUAUUAAAAAGUCCUCCCUGUCUGAAAUUUUCUUCCUGUCUGAAAUUGUCACUCACUGCCUGAAAUUUUCCUCUUGCCGGAUCUGUUCUUCCAAGCGCUCCCUAACUGUGGGUGGGUUUCUUCUUCUGAAAUUUAUUGUCGGUUCUGCAUGUCAAUUCACUGCCGGAUCUUCUCCUCCAUGCGGCUGAAUAGGUUGCAAAUUCUGUUGCAUUGUUUGGAAGUCGUCCCUAACAAAGGUUGUCAUAUCUGUUAGGGCUUUUGCCAACCUCUCAAACUCUUCACGUGUGACGUUCUCGGCCAUCACUUGAUUUUGUUCUCACAAUUCCGUCCAGAACAGAUCGCAAUUCCUGUCUAGAACAAAUCGCAAAUCACUUAUUUUCAACUCGCAAAUCCGUCCAGAAAUAAAGAUUAAAUCCAUCCAAAUCGCAAAUUCAAAUAGUGGUGUUCCGCAAAUUGGCUAUCCUUGAUUAUCCUUGAUUUCUAGAUCGCAAAUCACUGGAGUAAAUCCACAACUCACUGAAAUAAACGGAUUUCUUAAAUAGCAAAUCACUGGAAUAAAUCGCUAGGAUUUUUUUCCCUCACGUGUUCUGGUUCUUCACAACCACUGCAAAUCAUAAAUCGUCCAGAAUCGCAAAUGCUUAACUCGCAAAUCCAGAAUGCACAGUUUGAAAAAAACACAAAUCAAGAACGCACAACCUCAAACCGUCCUAGUCUGAAAAAAACGCAUAGUUUCGUCUGGAAAAAAACGCAAAAUCACAAAAUGUAAUUCCGUCCAGGUGAAAAAAUCGCAACUUGAUAUUCUUGGCCAACUGCAGAUCGCGAAACCCUUCUAGUCUGAUACCACUUGAUGUAGGCCUUGAACGUUUCUUGAAAACGGAUUUAACAGAUUGAAGUAAUCUAUCCAGAAUGAUAUAAAGAAAGCAAUGAAACAAUAAUUCUCGAUUAGGGUUUAAACUCCCUUGAGAAUCGAUUGAAGAUUGAACGAUUAUCCCAAUCCAAGGAUAAUCGAUAAUUGUGAAUUGGAAAGAAUUGUAGAAUCUACGGAAAUAAAGGAAGAAAGAAAGAAAGAAGAAUUAACGUUGAGAAAUACCUAGAAUAAAAUAAAACUCAACUAGCCCCACCUUUAGGGUCCACUCAUAUUUAUACUCUCAUGGUUUAAGAGUUGAAAGUCUACCAUGAGAGUUCAAGCAAUUUUAUUGGGCUUGGUCCAAGGCUCGAUUAGAAUCGAGCCUAUUAUUAAUGCAAGCACUUAUAAGGGCUGCAUCAUAACCUUAGUUUGUAUUUGUUCUACCCCUGGUAUAUGUCUUACCUAGAUCUCACCUGCACAUACUCAUAAAAGCUUUAGACAAGGUAAAAAUUUAAAUUACUUUAUGAGUGCAAUAUUUACGAAAUAUAGGUGGAGUAAGACAAGGUAAAGUUAAGAUAUACCAAAAUGUUAAAAUUAGGAUUUUGAAAUUUCUUGACAACAAAUAUGCCAUUAACAAAUGGGGAGAAUGUAGAAACAAGAUUCUUAAUGACAUAUUUAGUUGUUAAUUAAUCUUAAUUAUAAUAAACCCUAAUUAACAAGAUAAAGAAAUAUAUGAGUUAAAAUUGCAUAGAUAAAUUUAUUGAACUCAUAUAAAUAAAAUUGACUUGAUACAUGAUUAAAUCAAAAUGAUAUUAGCCUUAAUUAUUUUCAUCAAAUAAAUCUCUAUAUUGAUCAAGUUAAUUAUUGAAGCUUGUAUUUAUUUAUGCACACCUACUUGUUUAAAUUAACUCUUGUUUUCAAGUUGCUUAAUAUCUUAAAGGUUAAUCAACAUGGUGUGAGAAGCACAACUAUCUAUGCAAGCUUCAAAGAAACUCAAGAUGUAGAAAACUUGCAGAAAAACAAUCAUGACAAAGAUUUCAAGAUCAAAUCCGACAAAUUAACUACAAGGAUCUUGAAUUCAAUGCUACACAAAAUCCUAGAUGAAGAAUUCAAAAAUGGAGAGGAGAAAAAUGUGUGGAAGGUUCAAUCUCCCAAGAUCAAAUCCAACCAAGAUUUUGGAUUAAAUGCUACACAAAAUCCUAGAAUGUGAAUUCAAAAUGAAAAAGAGCUCUCCACCAAUGAAGUCACCAAUGAAGUGUUUUUGAAUCUCUUCUUCAUAGGUGUUCAAGAGUUAAAGAAAUUUACCUUCAUGCCACCAACGUCUAUAUAUAAGGAGGGGCACACCCAAGAGCAAAGUCAUCACUUACCAUCUUUGUUAAAGCUCUCUUUGGAAUCAAAGCUCUACUUUCUAACUCUCUUGCUCAAGCUCUAGCUCUCAGUUAAGCUUUGUGUGGAAGUUGCUCUCAAGGUUGUGUGCUUUAUUUCUUCAACUUCUUCUUCUUUUCCUCUCGUGUAUGUCAAGAGUGUGUUAGAAGAAAAAGCUCAUCAUCUUGUAAGUGUUCUAAUUGUUGUGAGAGGUGUAUCUCAACAUCAACACUUGUAAGGUUCAACGAAUUCAACCUUAAAACUCGGUGUGGUUCUAUAGAGUUUCCGGAAAACUCUUAGGUUGAAUCUGCCUUAAAGGUUCAAAGGUUUUUAAGAGUUCCUUGAUACUCUUAGGUGGUUCGUAAGCGUUUAUCCUUAAAGUUGCAGAGGUUUUUAAGAAUUCUUUGAUACUCUUAGGUGAUUCACAAACGUUUAGCCUUAAAAUUUGUAAAGGUUUUGUCAUUACCUUUAGGCUAGUGAUCUCCGUGUUUUAUCGAAACUGGAUUAGCCCUUGUUUGGGUGUCCCUUUUUAUUUUCCGCUUUCAUAUUUUUAAAGUUAUAUCAAGAUAAAAAGGAACUAAAAAGAGAUCCCUCAUCCAGUUAUCUGAUCAUAGAUUGAGGUUGACUAUUUUCUUACAGAUCCCUCAUCCAGUUAUCUGGUCAUUGACUGAGGUUAUUUUCAGUUAAAAUAUAUAUCCUUAUAUAUUUUAACUUAUAUUAUUAUUUUCGUGCUUAUAAAAAAACUUAGUAUUCAUAUACUACAGUUGGCUUAAAAAACACUCACUGUCAAGUUAAAAUAUAUAUCCAGUUAACUGGUCACUUAUAAUAUAUUUUAAAUGUGUGCUUAUAAUAUAACUUAGUAUUUAUAUACUACAGUUGUUUAUAAAGCAUGAUCUGAUAAGUGGACUCAGUAUCUAUGUACUGCAGUAAACUUAGAAAGAACAGACAAUCUUUUUAUAUAUCCUUGUCUCUAACUUGUAUUCUCAAGUAUUCCGCAAAUCUACUAAGAAAUUACGAAAAGAGGUUAUAACCCCCCUUAAUCUCAGAUCAAGAUCCUACAAGUGGUAUCAGAGCCAAGUAGGUUAUUAGCAGCUUCACAUCUGUUUCUAACAUGGCACAGGAAGAACAAGAAUACCAAGAUUUUGCAUCAAACAAACCUCCUAUCUUCGAUGGAACCAGGUAUGAAUUAUGGAAGAAAAAAAUAAGGAUUCAUUUGAUGUCGCUGGAUAGUGAGAUAUGGAAAGUCACUCAUGAAGAAUAUGAGGCUCCAACUACGAAAGAAGAUGAAUGGACUGCUCUUGACAAACAAAGGUAUAGAUUCAUUACAAGGGCAAUGAAUGCACUGUAUGGAGCGUUGGAUGAAUCUGAGUACAGUUCCAUCCAGGUGUUCGACACAGCUCAUGACAUCUGGAAGCAGUUGGAAACCAUUCAUGAAGGUACAUCUCACGUAAAGGAAAACAAGCUUCUACAUGCUCACAGGGAAUACGAGAACUUCACCAUGAAGGAAGGAGAAACCACCGCUGAAAUGAACAGAAGGCUCAUCAACAUCGUCAAUGAUCUAGCUGGUCUAGGCGAACCUGUCAGCGAAAAGAAUCAAGUUGGAAAAAUUCUAAGAAUCCUUCCUGAUAAGUAUGAUUCAAAAAGAGAUGUCAUCCAAGGAGUUCACAACUUGAACAAGCUUCGUGUAGUGGAGCUGAUCGGAAAUCUGAUGGCAUAUGAACAGAUGAAGUUUACACCUAAAGAGAAGCAAAAAGAAGAGUCUAGCCCUUCAAGCAGCAUCAUAAGUCGACAGUCAAUCUGAUAAAGAUGAACUUGCACUUAUCACUGCAAAACUAUUUAAGCUGAUCAAAAAAAGAAAAGAAUCUAAAGCAAGCAGCUCGUAUCACAGAUCACACAAGUCAGACCCACCACAACAGAAAGAAGCAGAUAAGCAACAAGAGGAAAUCUGUUACAAAUGUAACAAGACUGGACAUAUAAGACCCAAUAGUCCAAACUAUAAAGAUACUGCUCAUCAAGUAAGCUGGUCUGACACUGAUGAAGACUUUGAAGCUGAUGAAUGUCUAAUGGCCAACGACUCAGACACCCAGGUCAGUUUUUACGAUUAUCAAAAAUUAGAAACAUCAUAUCUAGAGCUAGCUAGUAUCUAGAUAUAAAUAUGAAAAGAAUUUAGUUAAAUCAUUAAAAGAAAAAUACAUGCAAAAUAUUAGCUCUUCUGAUAAUCAUGAAUUAGAAAAACUUAAGACUGAAAAUGCUGCUCUAACAAAAAGAUUAAAAUCCAGAGAUAAAGUUGUAGAACAACUUAAGGAGCAAAAUUUAAUUCUUUUAUAUCAUAUUGAGUCCAUGGAAGAACCUUCUACUAUGUAUCUAGAAGAAGUGGAAAAACUAAAAAAUAAACUAGAUAAAAAGGAGAGUGUGAUUAAAACACUUAAGGAACAUAACCUUAUCCUUAUAGAUCUUGCAGAACAAGUAAAAGAACCCUCUUCUGUACAUCUAGAAAAUGUAGAUCAAAUAGAAAGCUUAAAAGAAAUAAAUCUAUAUCUAGAGACAAACCUAAAAUCAUUAACAAGAAAACUAGCUAUGCAUGAAGAAAUGAUUCUAAGAUGUGAAAAUAAGGAGAAAUGUCUAAUACAUGAAAAGGAAGAUCUUUUAGUAGACAUUAAUUCACAAACAUUUUACAUAAAAAAUUUAGAAAGGAAAAUAUGUGAAUAUAAACGAGACAUUUCAAAAUUUACAUAUAGUUCAAAAAUGCUUGAUGAUAUGAUCGAAAAAUCCAACACUAGACUAGGCAAGCCUAGUUUAGGAUUCGGUCAUGAGUCUCCUUCCCCAAGUACAUCUGUGAUGUACAAUAAAUAUUUUGUACGAGAAUCCACACAUAAGAUUUUCAAAUUAAACAUAAAAGGAUUCCUCAUAAUAAAAUAAGUGCCAAAAAAUUAUGGGUGUUUAAGAAAAAACUGCAACACUAUAAAGUUAUAUCUGUUAAUCAUUUAGGACCCAAAAACGUUUGGGUACCAAAAAGUAUGUUUUCUUCCACAGGUCAAUCAAAAGUCCAAAUGACUAUUGAACAGUGGAUGCACCCGACACAUGACAGGCAAUAGAAGAUUAUUAAGAGACAUAGCUUCAGUUCCCGAGGGGGAAACUGUUAUCUUUGCAGAUAACAUGACAGGUACCAUAAUAGGCAAAGGUAUAGUAGAUAGUGUAAAUAAUCCUUUUCUUAAAAAUGUAUAUUUAGUAGAAGGUCUAAAACACAACCUAAUUAGCAUAAGUCAAUUAUGUGACAUAGGUUGUGUGGUCAAAUUCGAAAAACAUUUGUGCACUAUUACAAACUCCGAAAAUAAGAUUAUUGCAGAAGGAAACAGAGAAUAUAAUGUGUAUUCUAUUACUUUUGACCAAACUGCCUCAUCUCAUGAACACUGCAUGAUAGCAGCCAGUAAUGAGAAAAUCCUAUGGCACAAAAGAUUGGGCCAUACUAGUUACUCCAAACUGACUAAGUUAUCAAAAGGAGAUCUAGUCAGAGGAUUAUCUAAAAUUGCAUAUAACCAAGAUAGCUUUUGCAACUCAUGUUAGAAAAGAAAGCAACAUAAAGCAUCCUUUAAAGCUAUUUUGGAAGUAACUACAUCUCGACCCUUGAACUCCUACACAUGGAUCUUUUUGGACCAACCCAAACUCAAAGUGUAGGAGGGAAGAGAUAUGCAUAUGUAAUUAUAGAUGAUUACACAAGAUAUACUUGGGUAUUCUUCUUGAGAAAUAAGAAUGAAGCUUUCAGCGAAUUCUCAUCAUUCUAUACAAGGGUUCAAAAUGAAAAAGAUCUCUCCAUUAUAAAAAUCCGAAGUGAUCAUGGUGGAGAAUUUGAAAACACUGAAUUUGAAGACUUCUGUAAAACCCAUGGUUUUAAACAAGAGUUUUCCUUUCCUCAAGCUCCUCCCCAAAAUGGAGUCGUUGAGAGAAAGAACCGAACUCUACAAGAGAUGGUAAGAACCAUGUUAAACGAACAUGAUAUAUCUCACAUUUUUUUGGUUGAGGCAGUAAAUACUGCAUGCUAUAUUUUGAAUAGAAUCAUAAUUAGACAGAUCCUAAAUAAGACUCCAUAUGAGCUUUGGAAGAACAGGAAACCCAAAAUUGCAUUCUUCAAAAUAUUCGGUAGUAAAUGCUUUAUCCUAAGGACUCGAGGAACACAUGAUAAAUUCGCUCCAAAGUCCGAUGAAGGAAUGUUUCUGAGAUACUCAGAACGAAACAAAACAUACAGGAUAUUCAUCAAAGAAUCUCAAACUGUAAUCGAAUCACUUCAUGUGAAUUUUGAUGAAUAUCCAAAGGAUAAUCUAAUAUCCUCCUCAGACAUAGAAAUUCAAGAAGAGUCAACUAUAUUGACCGAUCAAACUCCAUCAUCUGAAGACCUACAAACAGGUUACCCAAGUAAGACCUUAAGAAAUCCACAUUCUGAAGAAUAAAUUAUAGGAGAUAGAAAUGUUGGAGUUCGAAAAAGAUCAACCACUCAAAGAAACAUGGACUUUGGCUAUUUUGUGUCUCAGAUAGAACCCAAGAAAGUGGAUGAAGCCUUAACAGAUAACUAUUGGGUCAUCGUCAUGCAAAAAAAACUGAAUCAGUUUACCCACAGCGAUGUAUGGGAUUUAGUUCCUAAAUCCAAAGAUUGUUCAAUUAUAGGGACAAGAUGGGUCUUUAGAAAUAAGGUUGAUGAAAAUGGAAUCAUCGUUAGGAACAAAGCCAGAUUAGUGUCUCAAGGUUAUAAUCAGCAAGAAAGAAUUGAUUAUGACGAAACCUUUGCCCUAGUAGCGAGACUAGAAUCAAUAAGAAUACUUCUUUCAUAUGUAUGCUAUAAAAACUUCACCCUUUCUGAAUGGUGAAGUUAAAGAAGAAGUCUAUGUAAAGCAACCUCCCGGCUUUGAAGACUCUGAAUUUCCUGAUUAUGUGUAUAAACUCAAAAAAGCCCUAUACGGAUUAAAACAAGCUCCUAGAGCGUGGUAUGAGAGGUUAAAGAACUUUCUACUCUCUCAAGAUUUUAAGAUGGGUAGUAUUGACUAAUAUUCAUAAAGAGUAUUGACACAGAUAUUUUAUUAGUCCAAAUUUAUGUUGAUGAUAUAAUUUUCGGAUCCACCAAUAAAAAUUUGUGCAAAGAUUUAUCGAUUCUAAUGGAAAAAGAAUUCGAGAUGAGCAUGAUAGGAGAGUUAAGCUAUUUUUUGGGUCUCCAAGUCAAACAAAUAAAAAAUGGUAUUUUUGUUAGUCAAACAAAAUACUUAAAAGACUUAGUCAAAAAAAUUGGUUUAGAUAGCUCCAAAGCAUCUAACACUCCUGUGAGUUCUACACUCAGACUAGGAAUAAUAGACCUAGAGGGCUAAGAGGUAGACAACAAAAAGUACCGAGGAAUGAUUGGAUCUUUACUGUAUCUCACAGCAAGUAGACCUGACAUCAUGUUUGUAGUUUGCUUAUGUGCAAGAUAUCAGUCAAACCCUAAAGAAUCACACCUCAAAGCUGUGAAAAGAAUAAUCAGAUAUAUUAAAGGAACAAUUAAUCUAGGAUUAUUCUAUCCAAAAGGAAGUGACUUUUCCUUAACAGCUUACUGUUAUGCUGACUUUAGAAAAAGCACCAGUGGUACUUGUUUCCUAUUGGGAAACGCAUUAGUGUCAUGGUCAUGCAAAAAGCAGAAUAGCAUUGCUCUGUCCACCACAGAAGCAGAAUAUAUGGCUGCCUCAAGUGCAUGUGCUCAAAUCCUCUAGAUGAAGUAAACCCUAAAUUAAAAGAUUAUGACACUACUUUAGGAACUAUCCCUUUAAAAUGUGAUAACAAAAGUGCAAUAUGUCUAUCGAAAAAUACAGUGUUGCAUGCUAGGUCAAAACAUAUAGAUGUUCGACAUCAUUUUCUAAGGGAUCAUGUAGAAAAGAAGAAUAUUAUACUUGAAUAUAUAUCAACUGAUGAACAUUAGCUGACAUUUUCACAAAACCCCUGGAUUUGGAGCACUUUUCGAAAAUCAAAAAUAUUCUGGGGAUUUGUGACACAGUCAAAAAUAUUCUGUUCACCAAAGGUAUGAUUUAUAUUUUAUUCUUUAGUUAAUAUUAUAAGUCAACAUAUUAUUUCAUAGCUCUUAAGAUUGGAUUAAGUCAAAACUACAAUUUUGAUUAAUCACUUUAUAGCUAGUUAAAAUUAAUUAACUAAUAUUUAUUUCUAGCAUAAUAGAUGAGUGAAGAUAACUUAGAAGUUGGUAGGUGAGUUUAAUAAUAACUCAUUCCAAUAUGUUUAGUCCAUCUAAAACAAUUGUAUUUAAAACCCAAAUUAAUGGAUGGAUUAUAUGUGAAUAUCAAGGAGAAACCGAUUACUUAAUUCUUCACAACCACUUGACAAAAUUACACAUUAAUACUUGCAUUGUUUCAUUCAAAAAUUGUGAAGAUUUAAUACCCAACAUAAUGAUCUCCCAUUUAGUACUUAAAUCUCCUUGAGUAAAUAAAUUUUUAAUACUCGAAAUCACAUCCAUGGGAUUAAAGGAUUGUAUAGUUUAAAUGCCCAACAACCAUUGGUAAUGAUGGUUUUCAUUUAUGCAAUAUCAACUCCAUUUAUGGUAAUUAAACCCUUGCCAAUAGUUAUGGCUAACCCUCACCAAGAGAUUCAACCCAAGUGAAACAGAUAAGAUAUAUCUUAAAGAUCUCACUGGGAUAGCUUCAAUCCUGAUCAAACUCAUCGACAACUGCUUGUGUCCAAUGUCUACCAUUACUGCUGAGCCAUCCAUGAUAGCUCGAUCAAGUUGCUUCCUUCUGCAUCCUCGAUUGAAUCAAGGUUGAUUGGGUAGGUCUGGUUAUGUACAACAUGGCCACGGUUACUAUGAUACCAAAUGGAACCAGACACUAUCCUCGCUUGAUCUCCAAAGUCUUUGAUAAGUAUCAUCUUAAUCUUUCUUUGUCUAGGAGAUCCAAGAUCUGUCCUUUUCAACAUUUCACAGCCGCGUCAUUCAAGCAUAAGCUGCUCAAUCAAUUCUAUGACUCGGAUAAAGAAGAUAUGGAUGCCAUUAGAGUUGAGAUAACAGAUAUGAAACAUAUACUAGAUGCUCCUAUCGACAUGACUCUCCUCAACACAGAUACACUCAUGACUCUUAAAGGAUUGCAUGCAAAUAGAGAUGAUUUUGAUCUAGAAGUUGUUAGACAACUCAAUCUGGUGAACCAAAACGUCAAAGAGUUGGAAGAUCAAGUGAAGUUGAAUGAAGCUCGAAUGAAGGUUGCACAUGCCAAGUAAAGAACAUCAGAGUUAAUCAGGAAAUGAUCUUAGAAAGAUUUGGAUCACUUCCGGCCUGGUAGUGAUCAAGCUUAACUGUUGUGUUUUACUUAUUUUUAUCUGCCUAAAACAAUAUUUACUAUGUUUGUAUGCUUGUUUGUUUUUAGGAGAUCUUCACUAAUUUUGAUUGAAAAAUCUCUUUUGUUAAGAGAUAAUCAAGUGAAGAUCAUAAAUAGUUAUGCUUAAUCUUUGCUCGUUUAAGCUACUUGAUGUGUUUUAUUUCAGUAUGUUUUAUUCAAGUUAUCUUAUUUAUGCUUAAGCUAUAUUUGAUAUGUUCUCCUUAUAUAUUGCUUAAGUUAUAAUAUUUAUCUUGUUUUAUACUUUAGCUACAUUUGAUAUAUCUUCUUUAUAAUUGCUUAAGUUAUAAUGGUAGAAUUUAUUUUAAAUGCAUGCUCUAUAUGCCUAUGUGAUUUUUACAUGCAACUAUCAUAAUCAAUACUUUACAUCAUUACAUGCUUGUAUAUGAUAACAUGCACUCACGUUUAAUACAUGCAUGUUAAUGUAUUCUCAGGUAUUUCGCAAAUCUACUGAGAAAUCACGAAAAGAGGCUAUAACCCCCCUAGCCUCAUAUCAAGAUCCUACACAAAUCUGGUCAGUUAGGCGGUUAUGCGGUUACGGCCCAAAUGACCAGAUUACCUCCAUAAAAAUUCCUAUAAAUAGGAGGCACCUCUAACUCAUUUGGGCAGGUCAUUAGAAGUGGAGAAGUCCCAGCGAAGCAGAGCUCUGAGCAACUGAGUCCCGGCCUGAUUUUAUCGCGGAGUUCCCUGCCUGACGCUUGUUCGAAGUGUCAGGAAAUAAUGCAAAUGAAGGCAAGCGGCAGGAACGGCGGGGAUGUGAGGCCACCUCGAGCGCUGAGCCUAACAGCCACAGAAGUCGGAUGUCUGGACACGUUGCGAAGCCAAGCACGUUGGGAUUUGGGGCGAAGGGGUUCGGAGAUUGUCCAAAUCCGGGCACAUGCCGAACGAAGGGGCCGACGGUCACGUCAAGCGUAACCGAGUAGCGAGCGGACGAAUCCAGAGCGAGGUCGAGCAAACUCGAUUGCCGGGUGGAGAGUACCAACACGGGGGAAGUAUCGCCCGAACGACGGACGAAACCCGCAGGGAACGUCGGAGAACCAAGAGAUGAACGAAGUUCGAGUAGGGUCUGAGCCACGUCAAUAACGGACGUCGAAGGGUAAAAAAUUGCACGAACACGCACACGAAAGAAAGAGUCGUUAAAAUUUCCAAUAUAUCCAAAACACAAGUUACAAUCCCAAGCAACGGGAAAAAAAUACAACGAAAGUUACAAGCCCGAACUACAAUUUACAAAAAUACUUCCGCUAAGCGAAUUGAAAGACAAAAGGAAGAAAGUGUCAGUGUCGAAGGGAGGUGAAAGCAGCAGAAGAAAGAAGAGAGGAAAGAAAAGGCAUUCUGGGUGGCCCGGGGGAACACAACACCACAUCAACAGAUGAUGAGGAAGAAACGAACCAUGAACCACGCUCCUACAAAGGUUGGAAACGGGAGAGGGGUCGCCCAAAGAUGACCCCACCGGCCGAAGAAUCCAGGGAACGAGCAAAGGCCACCAAGAGGCGGACCGCUAGGAAGUGCCGCAAGUCAUUAGCCGGGAGGGACAAGGAUCCACGAGAACUGAUGAAGCACAAGAUUUGCUACCAGGGGCUCACGGUGGUGCGAGGUGAUGCCGAAGGAUCUGGAGUCCACGACGCGCGCGCUCUACGUCAAAUCCUGUAGGAGGAGAAUAGGCGAUUCUGGUAUGGGAAUCGGCGAUUCUUUCCGUGUAUGCUCUAGUUAUGUGGAACUUGUGAUCUCCCUUGGAGUGACCCCUUGGGACCCCUUUUAUAGGGUCUUUGGGGGCGCACUUCGUGGCGGGCAUCGCACUCGGGUCAUAAUGGCGCCCAUUAAUGGCCAUUAUAACGCGGGUUGGCGACGAGUAACGGUCGUAAAUCAGCGAUUCAGGUAGGGAAUCGACGAAUUAGGGGCAAAGUCGGCGAGCUCUAAGGGACGAGAUCUGUAGCCUACCAAUGCUAAUUAUCUCGACCUCAACUCGGCGAUUUACCACUAAUAUCGGUGAUUUGGUAGCCCAAUCGACGACCUUACUGGUUAAACUCGGCGAUUUGACGAUGACAUUUGUUCCGCAAUCGUGAGAGACUUCCGGGGGUCUGGCAUAAAGCGAACGGAACCCUACUCCUUAUUGAGGGGUGUUAUUGUUGGAAGUGAUUGACGCAAUCAGGCAUGUAUCAGCAAGAACCACGGUGGCCGCACGAUCGACGACGAUGAUCGUAAUUUUCGGCCGAAGCAACAACAAGCAUGGCGUGCAGAGAGCAGCAGAAGCUCGAGGUCACAGCGGCGGUAGCAGCAACACCAGAAGCUUCAACAGGGCCAAGAGUGUCGGAUCGACGGAGCUGAGCGAGACGGCGAUGAACAUCUAUCAGGACGGAGUUGAGUCGUUGGCUCUCCGACACGGCGACACUAUGGAAGUCACCAACUGGAAGCAACAGGCACUCCGCCCACGCGGCAUUCUGGAGUUUCGCCUCGCGGCCAAACUCCUCCAAAAGGUCUUGAACGCUCAUCGGAAAGGAAGGGUGGAUUGAAGAAAGCAGGCCACAGAGAUCCUAUUUGUAGAAGAAAAAAACGAGAAGGGGUAAGGAGCGCAAACAUCGAAGCGUCAUAAAGACGUUUAUUUGAGAAAGCAGGAGCAAUCAGACCGGGCGGUGCCCUACGGCCGCCAGCUCCCGGGCCCAGGGAGAAGUACUGUUGGUACCACGGACCGUCCCAACGGACCGUGGACCGAACCGUUCGGUCUCGGGCCCAACCGCGCGAAGGGACUGGACCCGGGAAAGCCCAAGAGGCUUGUAGGCCCCCUGGGCUAACACUAUAAGUACCUCCCCUGGUCCAACAGGGGAGGGGGUUGACAAUUGAGAGAAGGGAUUUUAAGAGUUGUGUGUGUGAGGAUCCCAUUGUGAGCCCACACACUAUCAGAAUUAUUGCCAUAACUUUCAAACUAGUAUUAUUCGUGUUUAAUCGAAAUUGGAUUAGCCCUUCUUUGGGUGAACCAGUAUAAAAUUUCGUGUGUCCUAUCUUUUAUUUUUAGUUUAUUUAAAAUCGAUUAUUAAUAAACAAAGAUUAAAAAGAAAUCUCUUAUCCAGUUAUUUGGUCUUAAGAUUGAGAUUGAGUACUUUUUAUUGAACCAUCAUUUGAUUACCUGAUCAAUUGAUUGAGGUUAAUUUUAUUGUUUAUCCCUCAUUUAGUUAUCUAUUUAUUUGAGGUUAUAAUUUCUGCACAUUUUUUAUCCAAUAAUUAUAUGAUCAAUUGACUGAGGUUAAGUUUAUAAACUUAUACUGAUAAUUAAGUUGACUUAUUAUUUAUAUAUUACAGUCUACAGUUAACUUUGAAAGUACAAAGACUUUAACCUAAAUAAUUAUUUAGAGUUUAAAGUAAAGCAAAUUAUAUCAUUUACUCUAACUUGUAAAUCUCAUAUAUUUUUGCUCUAAUUUUAGAUUUCGCGAAAAGAGACCAUGUUCCUUUGGUCUCGGAUUACGAUUAAACAAGUGGUAUUAGAGACAUGUUGCUAUCAGUUUUACAUCUGUUAUCAAUAUGACACAAGAGUAUCAAGGAUUUUCAUACAUAUAAGAUAAUGAACAUUUUCAUACGUAAGACAAGUAGGAACAACGUUAUUGUUGAUGUCAUUACAGAUCAUGGCGACUUCCUUCAUGUGAUCGGAAACCUUUAUCGACGUUGUUGAACUCCCAUCGCCAUGAUUAAUCUUCUUUGCUCUUAUCGCAAACUUUUCAAAAAUGUCCAUUAUCUUUUAUCUGACUAGAUGUUGUCUCAUAGAUAAGACUCUAUAUCUAAUAUCUAUCGAUAAAAGAAACAAUUAAUUGAAAUAAACUAAUCAAAUAAAGUCUUAAAGAUGAAGUAAACAUCAAAACUCAGAACACUCUAAUCAAAACUUAGAACACUCAAGAUGAAGGAAACACUCUAAUCAAAUUAAUAUAAAUCGAAAAAAUCGUGUUAAAAAAGACACCAUUGAAUCGACUUUCUGUUUGCCGGUCCUCCCAAAGCAAUUUGUCAAACCAUUCUUUUCUACAAUACAUGAAUUGCAAAUUUGGUGCACUAUUUUUACCCAUAAACAAUCGAUUUAAUUUCUCACAAUCCCACACAUAAAGAUACUCCAAUGAAUGCCAUUCCAUUUCCGAUUUUUCAUCACACUCAUGUUUCCAAACAUUCUCCAAAUUCGGUAAAUCGCGCAACCUUAAAUGCCUUAGCUUGGGAAACAAUGUCCUUGCUUUGGAACCACUAACACCUUGGUCAUCUUUUUCAAUGAUAUUUUCUAACUCAGAACAAGAAGAAAUAUUCAACUCUUCUAAACAUACAACACAUUCUGCCACAUUCCAUGGAAAAAUAAACUUCAAUCGAUCGCAACUAUAAAUAUAAAUUCUUUCAAGUCUUUCAAACGAUUUGGCGGGUAUUAUGGUUUGAGUUCCAGUAUUUACAAAGAUAUUUUCAAGUUCAACCAUAAUGCUCAGAUGUAGAUGUUCUAGUUUUGGUAGAAUUGGAUCAACUUGUGUGUUAUAUUGGAUGAAAUUCUUCUGUUUACUGCAAUAUCCCACUUCCAGACUUUUCAAAUUGCACAAUAAUUUCACGAUAUCUUGUUCUAUCGCUGAAGAAAUUGCUUGUGUAGCGGAAUUGUUAUCUAUCUCGAAAUCAUACAUAUACAAUUUUUUUGUUUUCUCAAACAAAACUUGUAACCAUUUCGCAACAUUGCUUAACUGAACACAAGGAAGGGUUAAAAUAUUUGAACUCCAAACUAUUUGUGCAUCAAAGACCCUAAGAUAUCUGAUGGAAAAGUAUUCAACUGGUGGGAUAACGAGACUUGGUGCAUAUUCAUGAGAAAAGAUAGUUUUAUCAUCUAUAUCAAUAUGAAGUGAGUACAAAUUCUUCAAAUCUUUCAGCUCCUCAAAUGUCACAUAGUCACCAUCUUCUUGAUUGAAAGCUUUCCAUUUGUUGUAGCUCCCUUGCAUGUUUAAUUCUUCUAAUGUAUUUCUUAGAGUCCAAAAAAAUUUCGGUCUUAUGAUAUCUAUCACGGUGUUUGAAAAAUCAAUCGAUCUAAGAUGAAUAAGCUUUUUACUGAACUCCUGAUUUAACUCUGAGAUGUGUACAUUCUGCAAGCAAAGAACUGAAAGAUGUUGCAAGAAGAAAAAGUCUGUUAUAUCGACUGUAAUAUUUUGAUGAAGGGUUUUAAACAUUAGAACACGAAGCUUCGCUAGUUUCUGAAGGCAUGUUUCAAUGAAUUCUUUUAUAGAUAUCGAUGUUCCUCUCAAGUCCAAGAACAAUAAAUUUGCCAUCCCUUCAAAGAAAUCAGGAUGAAUGCUUUCCAAUAUGUUGUUACCAUUGAAUGAUAAAAACUGUACUUCAUUUAUGUUCUGCAGUCGAUCUGUUGAAUUUAAAUUUUGAAUAGAAGAACUCCAUUUGAUGAACUUUUCAAUCUUGAAGAAACCUUCAAAUUCAUUCUGCGCAAUAGAAAUAGCUACAUCCCGAAUAACAUCAUGCAUCCUCGCUGAAUUUUCCUUUUCAUCAUCUAUUUCUUCUACAACAUCUUGUAAUAACCCUUUCCUCUUCAAAUUUAUAAAUAUAUCACGAUAAGUAUUCAAUGAUCUUUGUCCUCUAUCUUGCCUUACACGCUUAUCUGCUCCAAUGUCAUAGCAAAUAAAAUCUCUCAAUUGAAUUUCUUGACCUUGAGCAAAUACGCUACAUAGUAGGAAACCCAUCUUCAAAUCAUCUUCUUCUAGGCGUUCAUAACUAAACUUCAGCAGACGGUACAUAUUUUUCACUACAUAAAUAGGCACCCUUUGAGGACAAUCUUCAUUUAGAAAAUUUAAACAACCAUUCCAUUUACUCUCUAGUAUUUCUCCACGAAGUGUUUUUGCAACAACUGAUAUCGCCAAAGGUAGCCCUGCACACUUUCUACAUAUUUCUUGCGCUAUAUGUUUUAUUCUAAGAUGAUUAGGGUUAUUAUCAAUAUCAGAAUAAUUUCUGAAGAACACCCAAGAUUCAGUUUCAUCAAGUCUUGCAUACAUCUUGAUUUGUUCGGCCCCCAAUCUCCGACAAAUAUCUUGGUCUCUGGUUGUCAGAACAAUCUGACAACGUAGAUUUUCAUCAUUAAUGUCGAUACCGAUUUUUUUAAAGUCUAGAUCCUCCCAUACAUCAUCGAAUAUGAUCAAACUUUUAAAUUUUUUCAAAUGAUCUGAAAUUAUUCUUGCUCUGACACGAAUCUCAUCAUUAGUAUUGAAUUCUUCAAACUGUUCACUGGAGCAUAAUCUACGAGCAAUAUUUUUUUGGAUGUCCUUGAUAUCGAUAGUAUUGUGUGAUACUGUCACCCAAAUAACAAAAAUGUUACCAUAUUUUCCCAUUUCAUUGUUAAUCUUCCGCAUCAAUGAGGUCUUCCCAACUCCUCCCAUUCCCCACAACCCAAUCACAUUUUUAUUCUCUAAUGCUGCAUAUACUGAAUUUUUAUUAACUUCAAUAGAAUCAACUGAUAGGUAAUCGAUGAGUUGAUGCUCCACACCUGGGAAAUAACCGGCCCAACAACGCAAUCUUAUGAGCAAAUCCCUUAGCUGAGGAGAUACAGAUUCCAAGCAUUGUGGUACACCCCAAUUUACCACUGCUAAUACUGCCUGUUUUACUAUAGGUAAUAUGCAAGAUGACUCCAUCUAGAGUCUCCCCCACAGCAACAAAUACACUUUCAAUUUUGUUAUCACCAAGUCAAGUUAAAAAUAAAGAUUUGAUUUUUAAUAGAAAUAUUCAUUUGUGUAACAGUGUAAGAUAGUACGUAUUCAAGUUCAAAAAAUCACAAUGUUCUUUUUAUCAUAACAUAAACUUCCAUAUUUAUGUACAAAUACCUAAAUUUAGUUAUAUUUCAAUUCAUUAAAAUUUUCCGAAUUCGGAUGCAUACAAACCAAAAUAACGUUUAAUUUGUAGAAAUAACUAAAUAUACAUUUUUCAUAUUACAAAACUUAAAUUCUUAAUAUUUAAUCAUUUUGAAAAAAUAUAAUUUGUGAUGAGGGUGACCAAGAGUUGAUCGACCGACCAGAAUUUUAGUCGGUUGAUUCGAGUAACAAGUAUUUUGGUCGAUGGUCCCAAAGUGACUGACCCUUAAUUUGAUAUGCCUCCCUUCCAACUAAACAUGGGAGGGAAGCUCGAUCUGGGCCCAGUUUAGAACCCAAGGCAUGUUUGCGAUAUCUGAUAUCUUCCUCUAACUUUCGAGACCUCGCGUUAUUAACAAAUGCAUAAGAGUCUAUUCUUCAUACCGUACUCCAUAAUACAAGAACUGAUAUCAGCAAUAUUUCCCCCUUCAAUCGAGACAUGUAUUUUGGUAUCUAAGUGGUUGCAAUGGCCUACGAACCAUCAUUUCUUCCUCCUGAAUUAGCCAAGAUAGGCGAGAAUGAAUUGACAAUGACUAUCAAUUUUUCCUCCUCUACCUUUGCGGGGUAGAAUACUUCUCUCAUGAUUCAUUUAUAGUCGACGGGCUAAAGCGUCACACCGAUUACUGGGUAUUUUUCGUAAUAAUCGAUAGAUUGAAGCUUCAAAUUGAUUACUUAAACUGCGUAGAUUUCGUUAAAUUUCUUUAUAUUCAGUAAGACAAAGUGUCGUACCGACUAUCCUCUUGGAGUUUUCAAAAUUUUGGCAAGUGUCCUUCUCACCACCAGUGAGGACGGAGAAUUAAAGGAGGGUGAAUUUGCCCCUUUGCACAACCAGUUGACCGAGAACUUAUCCCUUUGGGAUAAUUAGGGUGACAAUUAAUAAAAACUCCCCUCUGCGGUCUCGAGCCUAAAGCUCAAAUUUGAUAAGCUUAUCAAGUCAUACUUAAUUUAGAUAUUAAUUGAUAAAGACUAUUAAAUAAACUUAAAUAAAAAUUUAAAUCUAAAAAAAACCUUCAAGUUCGAGCCCGAGCCCGAGCUCGGCCGAAUCAUGCUCGGGUUCGAGACAAUUUUUUAACGAGUCGAGCGUAGCUUUAUAAUCAAAAGCUCGUAUUGACACCGUAAGGAUAAUGAAAUAAAUAAACAAGAAACUGAAGAAAGUAGUAAAAAAAUAUAUAACGAGACCUAAUUAUGGAUAUUUGAACUCACCUUUUAUAUUCUGAAAUCUGAAUUAUUGUCACAAGAUCUGAGUCGUAAAUGCUUGCUUUGAGGAAAACUUAAUUCUAGAUUAUUUUAUUUUGACGAAAAAACUUGAGAUUUUUUAAAUUUGAUUCAGCAUGUACCAAACCUGUAAAAUAAAAAUUUAAAAUAACCAUCAGAACCGCAAAUAUCUACAAAUUAAGAGAAGUUGCAGAUGAAUGAAUAAAUGAAUAAAAGGGGAACUAAAACACUAACAUGUUGAUUGUACCCAAUCUAAACAACUCCAGGCAAUACAAAUCAGAGAACUCCAGACCAAGAAGUAGCUUUAAAACACAUGGUAUCAGUGGUUACCAAAUUAAUUUGCCAUUGGUACUAUAUGGUAGGUGCUGAUAAUUAAGUAAUCAUUAGAUUAAUGCAUCAUCCCUAAUGACUUAUUCCAAAUUGAACGAGAAACACAUAAAACUUAUCCAAUGUCGAUCUCUAUCUAAAUGCAAUAUCAUCUGGCCCUAUCUAAAUGGUUAAUUCCAACAAGUCAUUUAUAUCAAUAAUGAC